UGUUUAUUUGUUGGUUUAACUGGAAUCAAAUUCAAACCAGAUGUUAGAGCAAGUUUCAUGAAAAUUACGAGUAUACGCCAUUUCGAACGUGACUAUGCCCAACCUGACCUCCCGUUACAGUACAAUGCUUCAGCAUGCGAGAAUUGAACCUAUGACUUAUGGCUCUGAUACUACUUGUCGGAUCAUUGACGCUAACCAUUAAUUUUAAAAGCUCAAAUUGUUCGAAAUACGCAACAAAUUUGCUUAAAGCAUAUGACACAUCGCCCAUAAAUAUAUCUUGAUUGUGACUCAAUCCAACCAUCCUCCAGCUACUUCAAACAGUCUCGCGCCAUUUCGAAUAUAACUCAGCCCAACCUAGCUUUUUGUCACAGAGCAAAAUUCUAGCCGAUUUAAGCCAAUAUUUUUCAGUGAGAAGGACAUAACCUAAUUAGAUCUUAGAUUUUUUUUUUUAUAUGAAAUUUGAGCUAAGAACAAAGUGAUUUAGAUAAUUCAACUACAACAUGGUAGGAGCAUGCAACAAGGCCAUAGGAAUUCUUAUGAGGCACAUGGCGCAUGUGGUGGGGGUCUUAGAGUUUGAGGAGCCAUGAUGUUGCUUAAACAUUUUUGCAAUGGUGAUUGGUGAGUAGUGGAGUGUGGGUCUAUAAAUUAAGGAAUACUUAUCAAGUACUCUUGAGUUUGAGGUAAUAUUAAUUCAAUGUGUUAAGUAUGUUGAGUGGAGUAAAUAAAAUAACUCCAACUAAUUAAUUAAUCGACACGUUUACCAAAAUAGAAGAAGUGUAAUUGAUCGACCAUUUCAAUCAAUUUGAGUGGCCAAAAUUAAGUUGAAUGAUAUAUAAUUAUGAUGAUGAUGAUGAUUGUGGCUCCUUUUUUGUAAACUUUUCUUCUUUUUUUUUUUUUCUUUGUUUUGAGACAAAACAUAAUGUUGUAUUAAUGCUUUUACUUCUUUUUUUUUCUCCCGUUUAGUUAUGAUUGAGAUUUACGGAAUUAAGUUCCCUUUUAAUCUUUGGCUCAAAAUGUGAGGAGAAAAAGCGAAAAAAAAAAACUUUUAAGAGGAUUUGAAGCAUUUGCAAUCCAAAAAAGAAACAAAAUUAACCACUUGAUUUGUCCCAGUACUAUCUAUACUAUCUAUACGGCUACUAAUAUAAAGAAUACAUUUCUAAAAAGAGUUAAUUUCAUAUAGAUCUCUACAAAUAUAGUAAAUUAUAAAUAUAUUCCUAUAAAGUUCAACUUUCAUAUGUUGUCCUUACAAAAGUUCUUAUGUUUUUAAAUAUGUCCAUCUGACUUGUUACCGUUAGAAAAUCAUUAGAAAACCGUCCAAAUUUUUAAUUUUGUCACCACAAAUAUAUUUCUCCAAAAAUCAUAAUAGUAUAAUAUAAAGACAUAAAAAUGUCAAAAACUAACCAGGAUUAAAUAUUUAAUCUAUGAUUUACUGAAUUUUUCUAACGAAUUCUAACGGAAGAAAUAUAUUUGAAAAUAUCAUGACUUUUUAAAUAACAACAUAUGAAAGUAAAACUUUAUAUAAAUACAUUUGUCGUUCACUAUAUUUUCAGUGACUUUUAUAAAUUAACCCGUCUUUAAAAAAUCACCAGAUCAUAUACGGCUUUGUAUGAGAACCACAAGUGCACAAAAUGAUUUGGGGGCUACCUGAUUGGUCAUGUGGCUUCGUCCUUGAUGCAUCCUACACUAACAUAAGUGCGGAAUUUGUCGCGCUAAACCAUUGUUUAGGACUCCAUUUGCUUCUAAUAUUCUUUAAUAUUUUAUAAUAUGGAUGAUGUUAAUCGGCAUUGAAUAAGCAAAGUCGAUAUGUCCGAGUGGUUAAGGAGACAGACUUGAAAUCUGUUGGGCUUCGCCCGCGCAGGUUCGAACCCUGCUGUCGACGAUUUUUUAUUUUCAUUGAGAAUUUCUUUUUUUUUUUUUCUUUUUUUUUGAAAGAUAGGUGGCAUGCUACCCGCUUCGUUUAUUUCAUUUAGAAAUAAAUUUAGCUGAAAAUAUGAAUCAACUAUUUUUUUUUUCAAAGAUAGGUGGCAUGCGACUCAUCUCGUUUAUUUCAUUUAGAAAUAAACUUGGCUGAAAAUGUGAAUCAACUAGAAUUCGAACUUGAUCUCGGGUACUUACCACCAAGCCUUUUUGCCACUUGUGCUAGGAACAGUCAGUAACAUUGAGAAUUUCUCUCACACAUAAUUUUGAUUUGUUGUUAGUUUUUUAUGCUGUAGAACUACUGUGCCAUCGGAAGUACAGAGAAUUUAACGCUUCCGACUUUUUGAUCCUUAGAUCAAGAAUUGUGCGGUUUGGAUGAUUGCAGUCCGCCCUCGAGUUGAGUAGUACUCCUAGGUUGAGUAGUCUCCAUAAGAUAAUAAUAUUAAUCUAAAAGUUAGAAACGAUUAAAGGUGUUGAUUUAAGAGUUAAAAAGUCGAAAACACUAGAUCUUCUAUAUUUUCGAUAAUAUAAUAGUUAUACUUGUUUUCAUGAAUCUGCCAGAAUAAUUUAUUUAUAUCUAGUAGGAGAUGCCGACUACCAUACUAUCGAAUUUUUCAUCGCUAGAUUUAUCGGUUUGAUCAUUUCUGCCAUAUUAUUGAGAUUUUCAUUGUUAGAUCUGCCAAUUUAAUCAUUUUUAUUGUUAGAUCAUGUUACUCAAUCAACCAAUCACCUACUCAACUGCGGAAAAUCACUAUCAUCCUAACCGCACAUUUCUUCGUCCAAAGACCGAAAACCUCAUUGGUACUAUUAAUAAUAAUAUAAUAAUAGCCUAAUGCCUAGUAAUAUAUUAACUAAAUAAAUAGUCGCUUACUCUUUUUUCUCACAACAAAAUUCUUUACAUUCGUGUAAAAUCUUCCAAUAAAAACAAAGCGAAAAUUUCAAACUGAAGUUUCCACAUUCAGAAUCUAAAAACUUAUUGCAAUUUUUCCCAAAAAUAGAAGCUUCAAAUUUCAAUAACGGAAAAAGUUCAAAAGCAAUUCUGAGAACACCUUUGCAUAAUUGCUGUAAAUAUAAUAAAACAUGCAAUAGGAAAAAAUCAAAAGCUUAUACAUAGGUACAAUUUCCGCAUUUCUUUAUCAUCGUAAGUCUAAGAAACACAUUACAGAGAUUGAUAAAGCUAAGUGAUCCUUGCUAGCACCAAGAUAAUUUUUAUCUUCAGAAGCUGCUUCUGAACUCUGCAACUCUGCACCACUUUCCACCCUGUGACUGCGAUUUUGUCGACGAGCCAGUCGAAGGGCUAUAGCACAAUUUGAGAUGUAUACCACGCUUCCAAAGUUUUGAUUCUGGUACUUAACAUUCAAUUAUUUUUUAUUGCAGUACUUCUCCUUAGGUUUUUGCAAAAAAAGGGGUUUCUGUCAAAAAGAUUAUAGAAAAUGUCAUCAAUAAUAAGAAUUGAAUUUUUCACCAACCUAACUAAAUAUUCAAUUGAAGGAGUUACAAAACAAUGGUUUCUAUUGAAAAAUCCACAUAAUAUUCCAUUUAAGUAACUCACUUUUCCUUUAGGUUAAAAUUAAGUUUUGACGGAGAGGCAGUGGAACCAAAAUAUAACAAUAAGUUAGGUACCGAAAUCAAACCUUUUAAAAAUCACAUUUCAAAAGCACUAUAGUCCAGGUAACUUCUCGACGUUUUCACCUAAAUUUUAUAGACGCUUCUCUAUUUCACUAAUAAAGCUCAUAUAAGAUGAUAAGGAAAUGGUCUGGGAUGAAACCUUUUUAGAUCUGGUCUUUCUUCCUAGAUUGUAAGUUUAUAAUAAUCCCUUGUUCCUGUACAAUCAAACAGGACAAUAUAAGCAGCAAUAGGUAAGAAGCAAACUUCUACAAAGUUAAAAACAAAAAGGUACCAUACGGUUGCUCAAGUUCCUCGCAGUCCACGCACUCUGUCUUGGAUCAGCGUCCUCUCCCAAUCAGCAACACCACUGUAGGCAUGCUCGGGCAAGCUCUCAAAAGGCUCUUUCCAUGGAUCGUUCUUCGCCAGAUCGUAAGUCGCCCCUUGAAUAGCUCUCUUGUUAGGUCCACAGGGCCUUUUCGAAGUCACUUUCUCAUAUGCUGCGUUGAGCUGUUAGGCAAAAUACGUAGCAUCACAAAGUUUAAUUACAAGAAGAUAUUAUGUCACUGCUGCUUCUUUUGUUCAUAUUUUGAAUUUGAUAUACCAAGGGGAAGAAAGAACGUCAAGUUGAGAAAAAUAGUUCGAAAUUGGGGCUCACAUUCAUGUUACAGAACCAGAACAAAUAAGCGAUAGCAACCGCAGGUGCCCUGCCCAGUCCAGCACUACAGUGAACAUAGACUCUUCCUUUGCCCUCUGAUAUGGCCCACUCUAGUGAAGAAACUGCUUUCGGCAAUUGAGACCUCAAGGAAUCUGGAUCAAAGUCCCUCGCCUGUUUGUUUCCAUAUCGAAAGGAUAUCAACGAUAAAUGAAUUCCUUCUUUCAGUUGCAACUUGGCAAUACAAUGUAGAGAUUAAGGAUAGUAAUAGAGAAAUAUAGAGAAAUAGAGGGUUACAUUGCCCCAAAAAGCCAUUUUUAGAGCUAGUUUGGCCCAUGUGGACAGCAUUUUCUAAAUCCUGUGGGAACUCCUAAGACUGCUGCAGAUGAUCCACGAAACAGAAAUAUUAGAGUGAUGCGGCACUUACCGGCCUUCUCAUGUGCCGAAUACAGAGCUCCUUGCAUCGCGCAAGAAUAGCUUGGAAAUCAACUCCCCAAUACUCCAUGUCCUUGUCCUGCUGCAAACAGAGAAUGUACGCGACGUUCGCCUCUUCUUUUAAGUGAUCGAUAUCUUCAGGCUUCUGAGGUUGGGAUCCAACAAUCAAGCUAUCACUUAUGAUAGUAUAAUUCAUGCCUAAAUUCCAGGAUACAGAGAAAUCAAACUCACAAUAAGACCGUGGAAAAUACUUAACUACAAGCCUCGAGUAAUAAUUCUUUCACUUUGCUUCGUCCGAAGUGGCCUAAGAACACCACAGCAGCAACUUUAUUUUCCAAAGUUUUCAUUCAAACAAGAAUGAUCUUACUCAAUUACAGUGUUCAUUUCAAUAAUUUCAUAGCUUUAAUCACUUUGUAGCAAAUGAAAUGGGAACAAUUGUUGUCCAUUCAAUUUAAGUAAACAGAAUACCUCAAUUCAAUAAAAAUAGAAGUUAAUGUUGGUUCUCCUUACGAUUUUUAACACUAAAAUGAGAACUGAGAGGUGCUCCCAAGUGGAAAUUACACAGUUUCUACUCCCAAAAAAGAAAAAAUCACAGAAUCAAGUUCACAAGUUACCGUGUGAUCAAACAAAGCACAGCUACGAUUAGGGUUUAAAAAAUCUCACCAAGGUCGUGGUGGUACUCGUAGGGGUUCCUCAUCAGCCUCUUCAUCACGGUAUUGUAGUCCUCCUCCCUGCGCCCGGAUCCGCCGCUCCUCUCGCCACCGCGGCGGCUCCCCUCCAUCGUCCCGCUCUCCGAGACCGCGCAAUGGAUCCGGAACCUUCGCGCGGCGGAUCCGAUCUUCGUCUUCGUGCUCCCGAUGAUCGAAUUGGUGAAAGAGAUCGAUCGCGGGAGGGAUCGGCGGAGAGAGGAGGAGAACGAGGAGGAGAUGGGGGAGGAGAAGGGGGAGACAUGGGGUAUCGAUCCCAUCUUCGUCGUGAUCGGAUCGAUCGAGCACAAGCUCUGUGAGCAAUUCGAUCGGAGCUUCGAGGCGAUGGAGAGAAAAAGGCGGGGUUGGGUGGGGAAUGGGGAUGGGGAUGGGAAACGGUGCACAGUGUCACGUGUCCAAAGCUCCAAGCCACGUGUUUUCUCUACUUCGCUCUCACUCACGCGGAGAAGAGAAAUACGACAAAUCCAAAUUCGGAUUUUGUGUGUGUGUGUGUGUGUGUGAGCCCAAUCGGAACACGAAUUCGAACCCAAACCCAAGCCGAUUUCAUAUUUUAUAGAAUACAGAAAAAGUUAAGUUUGCACUCGUAAAAUUGAGAUUUGAACAUGAUACUAUUGAAUUUUGGUUUUAAAAUUUUGAAGUUUGGAUUUGUUAUCGGGUUUGGAUUUGAAUAUAAAUUUUAAAGCUAGAGGGAUUUGAAUGCGGAUUUUGAAAAAUCCAUUCCGCGGUUUUGUCAGAAUUACGGGAAAGAGACAAACCGGUCAGUUUUUGUGACAAUUAAAAACAUGAGUUUUUUUUUUUUUUAACAGCAAAUAAAAGGAUAUUUUGUAAAAGAAUUUAUUUAUUAUUUUUCCUUUGUUGCAAUUUAAGACCGCUAAUACAUGUUCCCUGAUAUUUAAAUCUCUGUUCUUAUAAAUGUGUACAAGAAGCUGCAGGAAAAGCGUGCAAAAUUUGAAAAGCACCUAGAAGUUGAGGAGCAUAAGAUUUGAGGGGGGGAAAAAAAGUUCCACGGUGCAGAAUCAAUAGAAAUAUGUUACCAGGGCUUUUACAAAAUAAGGAAAAAAGUAAUCGCAGGUAAAUGAGUUCAUCAACCAACUAAACAAAAAAGAAAACAAGAAAGCAGAAAGAGGCAUUUAAACUCAAAUUGAAGAUCAAGUACACAAACCAGGAAACAACACACAAUGGUAUUCUCCACGCAGGAGUGAGUGCAGUACAUCAAUGAUGCGCGCGAGAAGAGGAAAAAGAAGAAAAAUAGAAGGAAAAAAAAAAAAGAAGUAUGUAUUAUCUGCAAAAUACAGGUAAGUCAAUUACAUGUGUAGAUUACUUGAACAAGAAAAAGCCGGUGAAUUCCGAGUCAAAUUAUAAAUCUUUAUCAAUACAUUCACGACUGCUGCUGCUGCUGCUGCGGUGGCGGCUCCUGACUCUGCUGCUCGUCGUCUUGCCAGGCCCAAACAAUAUCUUUGAGAGCCGGCCUUAUCUCCUCUUUCAGCAGCUUCUGAUACUCCAGCGUAUCCCCGCUAGUCUUUUUCAUUUCCACCAAGUGAAACAAAGGGGCGAUCUCGUAUAUCUCUAGAUCCAGCUCCACGAUGCCCUUCCUCCCUUCCUUCGGUCCCUCUACCUUGAAAAUCCCGUUGGUUUUCUUCUUCACAUUCAGCUUCAAGCUCUUAGCCAUUUCCUCCAGCUUCGAGAUAAUGUUCGGCGCGGGCUGCCUGGUAGUGAAUCGUGCUUCCUUUCUACCACUCCUUUCCUCGAAUAGGCCCGAAAGAUCGAAUCCCGUUGAGAGCGAUAUUAUAUCGAAAGCGUUCAAAUUUGAGAUGCUCAUCGACUCUUCCUUUUCCUCAGCAGCAGCCAUAUUGCUGCUUUGGGAAGUAGAAGCUGAAGCAUCAUCAGCACCGACAUUAUCUUUUUUAUCCGCCUCAUUUUUGGAUUGCUUGUCAUCAGGCACCUUUCUGAACCAAGGGCUCUCCUUUAUCUUUGAUAUAGAAAUCCGGGUAACAGGGUUCGGAUCCAGGAUCUUAAAUAGAAGCUUUUUUAACUCAGGAGAGAACCAACUAGGGCAUUUAAAUUCAGCUUUGCCAAUCUUUCUGUACAUCUCCAUGAGAUUUGAAUCGUGGAAAGGAAGAUAACCGGCAACUAGCACGAACAAAAUCACGCCACAAGACCAAAUAUCAGCUCUUGCGCCAUCAUAACCUCUCAUACUAAUCACUUCCGGAGCAACAUAAGCCGGGGUCCCGCAAGUAGUAUGGAGUAAGCCAUCUUUCCUCUUUGACUCCGCUAACGCACUUAAGCCAAAAUCAGAGACCUUCAAAUUCUCAUUUUCGUCCAAAAGUAAGUUUUCGGGCUUCAAGUCUCGGUGGUAAACCCCUCUGCUGUGGCAAUAAUCGACAGCACUAAUUAACUGACGGAAAUAUUUUCUCGCGGCAUCCUCCUUGAGCCUCCCUUUUGCAAUUUUGUUAAAAAGCUCACCGCCCUUAACAUACUCCAUGACAAAGUAAAUCUUGCUCUUGCUCGCCAUAACCUCGUAAAGCUGAACAAUAUUUGGGUGCCUCACUAAUCUCAUUACGGAGAUCUCUCGCUUGAUCUGCUCCAUGAGCCCAACCCUGAAAACCUUCUCCUUAUCGAUCAUCUUUAUAGCAACGGUCUGCCCCGAUUUAAGAUUCCUUGCAUAGUAUACCUUUGCAAAGGUUCCUUGCCCUAAUAAUCUCCCGAGCUCAUAUUUUUGCAUCAGAAUAGUCCUAGAAGUGCUCAUUCUUUCUUAUUUUAUUCGCACACAAGCCAGAAUGCACGCGGCCGUGCUGUUCUUAUGUAAAGUAUAUACAAAAGCAGGAUCUUUUUCUUCUUCUUCUUCUUCUUAUUUUUUUAAAUUAUCUCAUGAACAAAGUUUCAACCGUCGUCACCGAGGCCGUGAUUUAAUACGACAUGGCCAAUACUUAUUGUAACUUCAUCACACUUUAGUACAGGGAGAAAGGAGCUGAUAGGGCUAUGUUGGUUCCGAUCAUCAACAGUGAACGAUUUUAGUUCAAAUGGAGUUAUAAUCUCGCGUACCUCGGCAAAGAACCUUUUGCUAUGCAAGCACAUUUUUCUGCAUUCCCAGGUAUCUCUUCCGCAAUUGGCUGGGAAUCUCUGAAGGAAACACAAAUAUGAUAGGGAGAUUAAUAAAAUAAGAUUUGGUAGUUAUCAGCAAUCCAGGAUUUAAAUUGCCAAUAAGGUAAUUUUUUUUUUAAUCUGUUUGAACAACAUAAAAUUACUAGGAAAAAGGGGUGGUGUUAUUUUCCAUAAUUACAACAUAGAGAUUAAAAAACUGCACUUCCUAAGAUAAAUUAACAGGGAAAACUCAAUAAAUCAAAAGGCUUGACCAAAACACAAGGAAAAUAACGAGGAUUUGAUAUAGAAUUAAAAAUUUCCUCAUCAAGCUAUCAAACUGAUUCAUAUGAUCUAGAAUCUAGAAUAAAACAUGAAAAUUAAUUCCUCAUACAAGCAUCCAAAUGGAGGGAUUAAAUGAACAACGAAUUUCUCAACCAUUAAAUGUAUCUAAUUUGACCACUUAUAACUUGGAAAGGCCUAUUUCGUGUACUAAUAAUCUCCGAUGAUUAGAUUACAUAUGCCCGAAACGAAAAUUUUUUUAAAAAAAGUUUCAUCAACUCACAAAAAAAAAACAGCAAUUUGUAUGUAAAUAUAACCGCGCAAGGAUUGAAACAAACGUAAAAGAUCAUCUUUUGCACAAUAAACCUUAUCUAAAAAUUGAAAACAAAAUAGAAAAACUCGAUAUCUACAACAGUUUACAUUGAAUGCACACAAUAAUGGAGAAGAUCAUAUAAAGACUCGUCCACAAAUCCAACAAUCAUCACGUGCAUCAUUUAUUGAAUCCAAACCUAUGAAAUUGCAAUGAAAUUCGAAAAUUAUAUGUAAGCAAGCUCAAUAAUUAAACCUAAAUUAAGGAAUCCACAAUCUCACUACGAAAAGAAACCCUGAAAAGGAUCAAAAUGAUCGGAAUCGAAGGACUAUACAGCUAAAAACGGAAAUGGGGGCGAGAUCCCACGAAUCUUACCUCUCCAGGCCCAGAAAAAGGAGCUCCACCCGAUCGAUUCGAUCCCCAAACUCGGAAAAAUCGACCCACCGAAGCUAAAAUCGGGUAAAGGGGAACCCUAAACGUUGAUGGGGAUCGCGGAUUGGAGCGGAGAGGGGGCGGGAUUGGGAAACCUCUCGAUUUUGCCUCGUCCUCUCGAUUUUGCUUCUGCGUCGCAUGAGAAGCUUCAUAUAAUGGGCGAUUAUAUAUUAUAUCGCUGUGGUAGUUUCAUUACAAAAACGCCCCUCGAUUUCGUAAAUAUUACAGGAAAGGGAUCAACCACAAGGGCCCAAUGGGCCAAAAUCUUUUUUUUAAUUAUUAAAUAAAAAAGUUAGGGGAGAUUUUCUCUUUUUUUUAACUAUAUGUGUACCAAAAGAAAAAAAAGGAAAAAAAGAGCAUUAUGUGAGCAAUUCAAUUACUUUGAUUGGAAUUAAAUUUAUUUGAAUAAAAUUUUGUUGAUUGUUUACGGUUUAAAAGUUUAUUUUAAUUUUUUAAUAUAGAAAUAAAUGUAUGACUAUUUAUUAGAAGUGGAAUGGAUCGGCCACACACUGUUAUUUUUUUAUAUAAUAAUAAAACUUGGGAGUCCACGUUGCAUUACUAAAAUAUUUUAAUAAUUUAUAAUACGUUUUGGUCGGUUGGAUAAAUUAUUGUAUACAAAAGAGGCACAAUUUUUAUUAUUAUGUAUGAGAAGGUCAAUUUGGGAGUGUUACGCAAUUUGGAAAUGAAAAAUACAGAAGAAGUAAUAUACGGCAAAUUAGAAACCCAUGGCAUCUUAUAAACAUUAUAAAUUUAAGGGAAAACUUCAAAAACCCCCCUGUGGUUUCGUGCAUUCUCACUUUGCUACCCUGUGGUUUAAAACGUAUCAAUUUGCUCCCCUGUGGUUUCGUUUUUAUCUUUUUGUUAUCAAUUUUAUUAUUAUUAUUUUUUUUAAAUCAGUGACAAAGUUAAAAUUAAAGGAUACUAAAGUGACUAUUCGAUAAAUAUAGAUGGUUAUCUGAAGUUUUUUGUAUAUAAUUUAACAAAAUAUUAACGAAAAAGCUUCCGAAAAGAUAAAAAUGAAACCACAGGGGGGUAAGUUGAUACGUUUUAAACCACAGGGUAGCAAAGUGAGAAUGCACGAAACCACAGGGGGGGUUUUUGAAGUUUUCCCUAAAUUUAAUUGCAAAUUAUAUUAUAUUUAAGAUUUAGUUAAUUACAAAAAAUAGAAUUUAGGUAUUUUAAGCUAAAUUUUUGAAAGUCAAAUUUUCGUUGGGUAGGGAAAAGUUGUAAAAGAUAACUACAAAAUUUAUACUAUGCUAUACAAAUGUUACCGCAUAAUCUAUAUCUAUAUAUAAUUUUUAUGGCUAAAUCUACAUGAAUGUAUCACCUUCAUUUGAGGGUGGUGGGACCCACUAUUAUUUUUAAUUUUUUUUAUUCUCUUUUAUUUUAGUAAAACUAUUUUCUCUUUCACAACUAUCUUUUUCAACUCUUUUUCUCUCUAUUUUUUUCCUCCCAUUUCCUUUUUUUUUAAUCUCCUUAGUCAACAAAGGUUUAUCUCCUUCUUUUCUUACCUUACUUAUUGAACAGUUAUGGAUCUUUUAAUACAUGAUUUUAGAUUUUUCUUUUUCUCUCCCCUUUUUUGUCGCUCACUGCUCAAAGCGCUCCGGCCCCCAUUCGCUGCUCCUUAUGCGUUCUUGACAUGAACGACUUAUGAUGUAAUCACCAGCUGUACUAUUCUCAACAAUUAUAGAAUAUCUAUAUUUUUAUAUUCUUAUUUUUUUUUAUAAUUUUUUUUUAAUUAUCUACCUGUCGCAUCGCGCAGGUUAUUUCACUAGUAUACAAAUAUACUGGUUAUAUUUUUCUUUAUUGUUUACAAAUUUUACGCGAGAUUACUUUAUCCACAGCACUUAUCAGAACCAUGAAAAAAACGUUACAUUAAAAUUUUAUAACUUUUUCUUGCUUUUUUUUUUCUUUUCGAGACUCAAAAUUAUAGUUUGCCAUUUUAUCCCAACAAAAGUUUUGAAUUAUUUAAUUUAUCAAACAUUUAAUUAAAUAAAUACUUAUAGCUAAAAAUAAAAUGAAAAAUUAGAGCCCUCUUCAUCUAAGGUUUUGUUAUUUUUUUUGUUUUUAAUCUCAGGCCUUGAAUUUGUGAUUUUAUGAAAUUUGUAAGUGUCGGUAUUAUCGAAAUCGUAAAAUUUCCAAUCUCCCGGUUAUAAUUAUAAAGAGAUUGACUUUCAAGUUCUGUAAAAUGAACGUUAAAACUAAAUCGACGAAAAUUAUAAAUUUCUCACUCUCCGACUGUUUACUUAAACUGUCUCUCGAUCAAUGUAAUAAUAAUUGGGCUAGAAUCGUAUAAAUAUACGGUAUUGGGUUUUUUUUUUUUGUAAUUUUCUACAAUAUUGAGGGGUAAAAAAGUCCAUGAAUUCGCGAUAAUUUUGUUGUCCUCAAAAAAUCAAAAGCUACCGCCGAAAGCAAGCAAGCAAUAGCGUCUGGUUCAUAAAUUUAACGAAGCCGAGAGAAUAUUAAGAAAACCAAAAAAAAAGGGGAACACGCCACGCGUUUUAAGAGCAAAAUUUUUGCGUGCACCAGGUGCACCACGCCAUCUAUAGACCGCCCGAUGCUUUAUGGCUGUCUCCUCUGUAGUGUAGCGAAUUAUUUUGGGGCCACUUUGCGCUCUAGAUUCUGCUUUACGAUGUUAACUAAAAAGAGUUGAGGCUCAAUUUGAAUAUAUAUAUAUAUAUAUAUGCACGAAAUAGGAUUAAUUGCAUACAGAUUUUUUUAAUAUAGCGAAUUAUAAAUAUAUUUUAUAAAGUUUAAUUUUUUUAUAUCAUCGCUGUAAAAGUUCAAUGAUAUUCAUAUUUGUCCCUCAGAUUUGUUAUUAUUAGAUAAUUAUUCACUUUUUAACAGCAGAUGAGUAAAACGUCAUAUUUGUCAUCACAAAUAUGUCCGUCUAAAAGUCCCUACUGCUAUAAUGGCUUAGAAAUAUCUCUCAAAAAAUUUUCAAUGAUUAUUUUCUUACUCAUCUUAUUUUUCUUUAAAAUCCAACCUAAUCCAUCAUUUUUGCAACCUUUUUUAUCACUCAUUUUCUCCUAAAUUUUUUCUUUAAAGUAAAAUGAGAAAAAAUCAUAAAAAAAUUAAAUGGAAAAGGAACACACGUUCGAUAUGAACAAAGCAACAUGCGUGAUGGAUGAAUGGCCGGGGACGGAAAAAUUCUGAUUAUAGGAAAAAAAAAAUUCAUUGUUAGAAUUUUGAUUGAAAGAAAAGGGUAUAAUAUAUAAGGGAUAAAAAUAUCAAUUUACCUCAUUAACUAAUUAUGUUAAGUAUUUUACCUACAAAGUUGAAUUUUGUAGAGAUAUAUUUGCAGUUCGCGAUAUUUAAAGAGAGUUGUAUGCAACUAACCCUAAAAAAUAUAUUUGAUCGACUUAUUAUAUAAUAUAUGCAUUAUGAUAUCCUGUACGAAAAUAAAUAAAAUAUUUUUAUUAUAUUUUUUCACAGCAUGUAAUAUAAUCUGUCCACUAUCCUAAAUAAAAUCUGAUUCUUAUUUCUCAUUUUUACAUUAUUGAUGUGUAUAUAUAUUUGAUAGUCAUAUUAUUCAUAAAUCAUAAGCAAACUUAUAAAAUAGGGAAAUAUCUAAUAUUUUAUCGCUCAAUUAUUAAAUAUAAGACAGAGAAAAAGUGGCUUUGUACACUAUUUACGCGAGCUUUUUUUAGCUAUAGAUAUAUGAAUAAUUAAAAUUUAAAAUUAUAUUUUUUGAUAUUCUCUAGUAUUUUUAUAAACGAUGUAAAUUUAUAAGGACGAAAAGCGAUGACAAUUGACAAAAAAUAAAAUAAAAUAAAACAUUCUACGUAUUUUAGAAAAUGUAACUCUCAUUACAUAUUGAUUUUAAAAAAAAAAUUUGAAAAAAUUUUGACUCUUUGUUAGAAAGAGAUUGUUAGCUAGAAAAAAAACAUUUCGUGCCUUAUUUCUAUUGGCCAAAACUGGAAACAUUAUCCACCACAAACUCAGUGGACAGGUAUUACAUGGUCCAUCACGUGCAAGCAAUCACCUUCCGACGCGUGUCCCUCGUCGUUUUCUUCCUCCUUUGGUAGUUACAGCCGUUAUUUGGUCCACACGUGUGCACUAACCGCCACGUGGCAGACGAGUGGCCGUUCCUUUACCAGAUCCCACUUCUCUUCCAACAAAAAAAAAAAAAAAAAAAAAUGAGCUCAAAUAAUCUAAUUUUGUGGGCGAAAAAAGUUUGUUUUCUAAAAAAAAUUUCAAAGAAAGAAAUUUGAAUUUCUUUGUAUUACAUUUAUCAAAAAAAGAAAAAUAAAAAGUAGAAGAAAAUUGAAUUUUAAAGUCGUUAUUAUAGGCAAAGAAAAGAAAAUUCAGGUAAUAUUGGAAAUUUUCAAUUUUACAUAUUUACACUAAACCAAAAAUUUGAAUUUAAAAUUCAAAAAUUUGAAGUUUAAAUCGAUGCAGGAUUGAGAAUUGUCCAAUUAAAACAUAUCUAAUAAAUUGAGUAUAUGGGCUGCAAAUUUUAUCCUACUGGGCCUUAAACAUUUUGUGGGCCUCUCUUAGUAGCAUCUCUUUCAUAGAUACAAGCCCAUUACCUUAAUUAGCUGAACUUGGUGAGUCAUUGCGGAUUUAUUUGGGAUUGCAGAAAGGUUGCGAAAUACAAAAACAUUUUAUUUAUUUUCUUAAAUGAUUGCACGUUGCAGAUCGUACUAGUUCUAUUAUGAAAUAUAAUUUCUGUCGUUCUACCAAAAGAAUAUAUAUAACCACAUUUUUUAUAUAUUUCCUAUACUAACCGUCAAACACUUAUUCAACUGCUGCGUCAGAUACGGUCGAUAAUAAUUAACUAUCCUAUUAAGUAUUUUACCCUAUAUUAGAGAAUGCGGUGUUAAGAAUGUGUAAAGAGAAAUUUGUUCUUAAUUGUAAGAACACUUAGUUCAAAAUUUAGAUAACUUGGAAACUUUUAUUAAAGUGUUAAAUACAACACAAAUCUCAAUUAUUUAAAAGAAGAAAAUUAAAUUUGCCCUUCUCUUCUCUAUUUUUUUUUUUCCAUCUCCAAUUGAACAAGAUCAAACUUAAGCCAAAAAAAUAACCAUAUAACAAAUAAUUAAUCCAAUAAAGAAAUAAAGAAUAAUCAACAAUUAAAUUCAUAGAAAAAAAUAAUGAAGUAAAAUAAAAUCACACCAUCCAAUCAAUCCCUUCAUCGCCUAAAACAAUAGUGGCCGUACAAAUGGGGCAAUUAGGCUUCUUAAUCAACCACUUAUCAACACACAGCUUGUGAAAAAAGUGACCGCACCCUUGCAGAAACCGGCACGAAUCACCGUCUGCGAACGGCUCGAAGCAAAUCGCGCACUCGAGCUCGUCGGAAUCGCCUCCCUCGUAGCUCCACUCUGGUAUUUUCUCGAGCGCUUCGGGCGUUAAGGAUAACACCUCUUCUAGUUCUGUAUAAUCACCACGAUCGUCGUCAUCGUCAUCGUCAUCGUCAUCGUUAUCGUCAUCGUCAUCGUCGUCAUUGCUAUUGUUGUUCCAGCAACAAUACACGAAACUACACAUUAUGUAGGUUAUGAUUAAAAAGAAAAGAAACCCAAAGAGGAACCAACCAAUAUAUUUCUUUUGUAUAGCCAUCUUAGUAGAGAUCAAUUGAGGGUCAAAUUUUUGGAAAUUUAUAUAGCACAAGAGAAAAGGGUUUUGCAUCUAUAUAAUUUGGCUUUAGAAAAUGUACUCCUAGUAGGAUAUAUAAUUAAAGCGAUGGAUCCUAAUUAAUAUGUAAAUUAAAUUUUGUCACACAAUGAUUCAACUUGUAGUUCUAGUUAUACUAGGAUUGUAUCUUAUUAGAGUCUACUAAUUAUAUCUGUAAAUAAGGUCAUAUUUAAAUGUUCAUAUUUAUCUAAAAUCUUGUUCCCUUUUUUUUUUCUUUUUCCCCCCAAGCUAUCUUACUCACUAAACAAAUAGCAUUUAAAUAUCAUAUGUAAAUGCCAAUUUCCAUCUAAAAUCUCAUGUUAACUAUUUUGGUUUUUCCCCCUUUUUUUUGGGUUCAAUGAAAUUGAGUGGGGAUUUGGGGGAAAAAAAAGAAAUAAAUGAAUCACAAAAACUGUUUAUUUUAAGUAAAAUUUGACUAUUACGCGAUUAUAUCUGAUGUGACAAUCGAGAAUAUAUCUGACCAAAUUAACAAAAAUAAAGUUCUUAUUAUGUUGCGGCAGAAUCAGUAUUUAGAUAAUGGAUUUCAAUAUCUUUUAAAAGUAAGAUAAAAAACGGUGAUUUAUAAAUCAAAAAAAAUUUCGCUGAUUCGUAAAAUUUUAGUUUACUUUUAAGUCAACUCGAAUUUUUGAGGGUGUUAGAUCGGAGUGGACCAACAUUGACGAGGUUGAUGCCAUGUGGAACACGGCGAGUCAUCAAGAUUCGUGAAAAGACAGGUCCAGUGUUCACUAAUUAACAUAACUAGUAAGCCCACUUCAAAAUUUUUUUUUUUUUUAAAGGGGGGUUAAAUAAUAAAUAAAUAAUUAAAUAUAAAAAAAGAAGAAAUUAUAUGUGUUAAUUAGAGUCGUGCGUGACAAGUCAGUGACAAACGCGUCUUCACGGUUAAGUUCUCUCCAAAACAUCCCCGUUUCCGCGCGUUUCUUGCUCGUCAAUUAAAGUCCACGUGCCCGCGUCCGCGUACGCACAACCUGUAUGUAUUAUAUACGCUCGCUCGUUAGAUCGCGUUCGCGCGAAAAAGUCAACCGCUUGCAUGGUCAGCGCUCCUCCCCCCACAUUCACUUACCCUUUUCAUACGCCUUUUCUUUUUUAAAAAUUUUAUUUUUUAUUAUUGUUAUUAUUAUUAUUUUUUGAAACAUUCCACCUCAAGCAACCUUAGUUUCCAUUUAUUAUUAUUAUUAUUAUUUUCAUGGUCUCUUCACCCCAUAAAACCCCCUCACCCCUCCAUCCAAUCUCCUCAACACAAGCUCUCUCUCUCUCUCUCUCUCUCUCUCUCUCUCUCUCUCUCUCUCUCUCUCUCUCCCUCUAAAGCCCAGUCUCUACAUACACAAACUCUUCCUCUCUCUAAAGCCCAUCCUCUGCAUAUACAAACUCUCUCUCUCUCUCUCUCUAAACCCCCCUUCCACACAAGCUUAUUCUCUCCCUCAACCCUUCAUACAAUCUCUCUCUCUCUCUCUCUGUAAAGGCCAUUCUCUCUAUAUACAAACUCUCUCUCUCUCUCUCUCUCUCUCUCUCUCUCUCUUAAGUCCAUUCUCUACAUCCACAAACUCUCCCCUCUCUCUAAAGUCCAUUCUCUGCAUAUACAAUCUCUCUCUCUCUCUCUCGCUAGAUCUCUCUUUCUCUCUCAAUACAUAAAUAUACAUGGCACUGCUACAACUCCAAUCCCAUCACCUCCUCCUCCUCGUCCUCCUCUCUCUCCUCCUCCUCCUCCUCCAGCCCCAGCUCUCCAUGUGUCGCCCCAUGAUCGGCCUCAAAGCCACCGAUGACACCGCCGUCGACCGCGGCCGCAACAUUGCGCUCCCUCGGUCGGAUACUCCCCUCAUGGCCACACCAUUAGUGAUGGAGCACACUAUGGCCACUCCUCUACGUCCGCCACCAUGCAACAUGGCUUCUCAAGAAGCCGCGCAAAAAGUGCUUUUGGAGCGGCACUACAAGCCGCUUUUGCUCAACGUGCUUCCUAGGGGGAAGACGCCACCCUCGGGCCCCAGCAAAGGAACCAAUGAGUACAAUAGCUAGAUCAUGUGGAGAACGUUUUUGAAGCUAAUUAAUUUUUUUUUUUUUUCAUUCAUAUAAUAAUAUAGUUAUAAACUAUAUGUAGGGAGAUAAUUUGUAAAUAUCGGAUUGGAAGAUGCCGAUAUUAUUGACUAUAUAUAUAUACAUCAUUUGUUGCUUGUUUUUUCUUUUUCUUUUUUUGGUCCAUACUUUAUUGAUGGGUUUUCUUAAUUUACAUAAUUUUUCUUUGUACUCAUUUGUUUGUAUAAUUUUUCUGAAUUAUGUAGAGAGGAACGGUUCUAAUUGCUGCAUUAAUGAUUUGUUAUAGAGGCAUUAAAUUCUUGGAUCGCUUUUUCUUUUCCCUGAGUUUUGGUUCACUAAUAAAUAAUACUUAGCUGUGUGAGCGAACCAAACACUUGUUUAAAGAGCCAGCUCAUCUAGUUAUGUACGUAUAAGUCAAUGUGAGCUGUUCAGAACGGCUCAUUUAAAUUUGUACCCAAAAAAAAAAAAAAAAAUUGUAGUUAAUUACAAGCUGUUUAUAUAUAGUGCUAGACUCAAUUUAUCAUUUAUAUUUACUAUAACAUUUAGAAUUAUUUCCUCUAUAUAAAUAACAAGAAAUAAAGAACUUUCUAUAUAUAUAAUUGUCAUUCAAUAAUAAUGUUGUUACGCGCAUUUUUUUCCCCCUAUAUUUUAUAUUAAUAUAUAUUUUAAUCUGAAUGGAUUACGAGGAGCUGAAGCUAAACUUAAUUAGCUCAAACUUAGUUCAGUUAUUAAAUGAGACAGUUGAGUGAGUCAAUUUCGAGCAGAAUACGAACUAGCUUAUAAGUUUGAUAGUUGAGUUAGCGUCAUAGAUCAAUUGGAUGCAUGACAAUUUUUUAUCGAAGAAGAUAAAAAAAAAAGAAAUAAUUAAAACAAAAGCCACAAUGUGAAAAAAUAAAAAUAAAAAAUUGUAAUGGGUUAAUUGUAAGUUGGGAACAUUAAUGCGCAUUUUCACCUAACAUGUUCUAUGUUCCCUGGUCACACUACCAAAACCACUGUAUCAAGCGCGUCUGAAAAAAGCGACUACUUUUUGGGGACGAGUUUAUUGAUCGAUCGCCAUGAAGAUCUGUAGAGGCCACCUUUUUGACCAUUGACUUUUGACUUUUCCCCGGUCUAAAUUUCCCCCGUGGAUCACGUCAGCAUUUGGGCCCCACACGACUUUGCGUAGCAUGCAUGCACCGACGUAAUUGGUUGAGUCGGAUUUUUUUUUUAAUAAAAUAUUUGAUUAAAAAGAGCAGUUAACAUUGUUGCUAGUUAGGUAAAAAGAAAUUAAAACCCCAAUUUGAUACAAAUGUUUGAUAUUGUGCUUUAAAAAAAAAAAUUAUAUACUAAGGGCAUAAAUAUACUAUUUAAAUGGUAAUUUUAGCUAGUACGUACGUAAUAUUAUAUGCGAAUGCUACAGAUUCAUAUCGUCGGUAUUUUACAAAAAUAUGCUAGGUAGAUGAAUAAGAUCGUCUACAGAGUCUUAAGAUCCCAGGUAUUGUAUGUACAGUAAAUCGAUCAGACCAUAACAUCAUAAGGAGAAUCGAUCCUACAUAAUUUUUGUAGCAGAAAUAGCACAUGUUACCGAUUGUCCCAAACGCAAAUGGCAAAGGGCUUGGUGGUUAGUACCCGAAGUCCCAAGUUCGAAUCCUAGUUGAUUCACAUUUUUUAUAUUUCGGUUAAUUGCAUGGUACUAAUGGACUAGAAAAGGGCCUACAUAGAAGGACAUAUCUUAAGCCCAAUCCAGCAAACCGAAAUACGUGACUUCGACUACGACCCAACCCAAUGAGAUAGAAGCUAAAUUUGCAGCCUGCUCAAAUCCGGCUCGACCUAAUAUCUAACAUUUUAUUAGCCACCAAUCUUCUACCGGUACUCAUGAUAGUAUUCUAGUCUAAUUCUUAUACAGUAAAUCAAACUCGACUGGCCAGAGAAUCCAAUUGAGGAUAUUGUAGCUUAGCGGUUCCAUGAGUCGGCCCAGCCCAUUUUCAUUCAUAUCUUCUAUCCAUGUUAGUUAUUGCGCAAAAGUUGUUAUAUUUAAAAUUUCAAUAAGCUUGAUCACAAGUAACAAGUCCUUAAAAGCACCUCUAUUUAUUUCGAUGCAAAACAUAUGAAGGUCUUAUACUUAGUAAUAAGUAAUAUACUCAUAGUAUGUCUCGAAGCGCAUUAAUUUGAUUGAGUCAGUAUUUCUAUAUGGUCGCAAUAUACGAAAAUAAAACUAAGCCACCAACAUAGUUCCAAAUUGCCAACGAGGCAAUCUUUUUCAUCAUUAGCUGGGUGAAAAAAAGGACCAGCUAAAAUAAAAACAAGGAUAGCCAAUGAAAAUAAAAGUAUUAUAUAUUCUAGAUAAACAACUCAAGAUACUUCGAAUUUUAUAUGUAAAAUUUGUAGCUACUCACACGUGCAUUUUAUUAGAAACAAUAAGAUAUAUACCAACAAAUAAAACUCGUUUGUUGCGUAAUUUUAAGAACCCAAUAUAUAUAUAUAUAUAUAUAUAUAUGAGUUGAGCUACGAUACUUUUACAAGUAUCACCAUCAUGGUGCUAUUAAGUUUUAAACCAUUGGAUCUACUUUUUGAUUAUUAAUAGUCCUUGGAUUAAACACUAUUCCACCUACCACCACCUACCACCAUCAUCUCAACCUCACAUCUCUCCAUCCAAGGGCUAAAAACACACAAGUAUCACCCCCAUGAUACUUUUACAAGUAUUCUAGCCCUACUCAUAUAUAUAUAUAUAUAUAUAUAUAUCGUGUAUUCGUGUAUAACAUCCGUAGCAAUAUUAGUUGCUGAGUCACUGUCCAUAAUCUCUGCUGAUACGGCAAAUUGGGAAAUGCAAGUUCAAGGUCACAUCCAAACCAAUCAACUCAUUCUAAUUGUUUACGGGAGUGCACAUGUAGUGUCACAUCAAACAAAUUAAGAGGAACUCAAGUUGUUACAUGCAUUAUGCAUUCCUUGCAAUUACUAAUUAAUCACCAGAUCCAAAAUAUUAUCUUUAUAUAUUACUGAUUGAUUUAUGAAUCUCUUUUGCAUCAUUCCAACACUGAGACCCAGCAAAUGAAAGAGAAAUGUUUUAUGAGACUUGUUGAUAUAUUGAUAAAUUUAUAUAAUACUGUAGUUUACGUAUAUGAAUAAAACAAAUUUCGCUAUGUCGUACCUACUAAUAAAUCAAAAAUUCAUGAAUAUAACAUUCCAAGACACCUGUAGUAAUGCGUCGCAUUGAAGGAUAGAAUUUCCUUUUCUUCUCCAAGAGCCCUUUAUUUAGGAGGACCACUUUAAGGAGUUUAAUAGGGACCAUCCAUUUAAUUCUACCAAAACUUAGGUAAUUAAGUACCAUACAGUUCAUGGUUGAUUAUUUCAUUGCCAUCAAAGGUCAUCACAAAAAAUAUUUGCCCUUAUUGAAAAUGUAAAAUACGAUACAACUAUAUAUUGAGUUACUGUUAUUAGUCCUUGACGCUGAAAGAGUUAUUUGUGAAAAACUGUACGAUCGAUGCCUUAUGAUCAAAUGUUGUCGAGAUCAAACUGAGUGCUGAAUCCUUGAGCAAUUCCAACCAGAUAUAAAUCUAUGAACUAAGAAUGCACAUAUGUAUUGGUUUUCACUGCACAAUAUUCCACAUUAAAUUGUCAUUAAUAGUUUUUAGUGUGAGGAGCUAACAUUUGGAUAUAUUAAUGUAGAUUAGUUGACUACCUCUUUAUUGUGAAGAGUUAACAUAUGUAUAUAUAUUAAUGUAGAUUAGUUGACUAAGUCAUAGUUACAAUACAAACAUCGAGUCAUGUGCUUGAACCAUGUCAUUUCCUUUUAUAAUGUUGAGUCACCUCAACUUGUUGCUACUUAAAAAACCUUAAUGAUCCUUAAAAAAGUUUAUUUUUUUAAUUUUUGUUAAAUUUUUCAUGCCCAUCUCUUGAGCCAUGAUUAUCGCAUAUUUAGGGGGGGUUUCUCUAUGCAUUUGUCUUAUCUACUAACAUUUGUUAACGUGUUCAAAAUGGUCCCGUAUAACUCAUUUAAUUCAAUUAGUAGUAUCAACUCCUCUUUUUUGCUUUUUUUAACCUUUUGCAUGCCACAAAUAUUUAAAUAAAUUUGCAUCCCCUUAGUGUUUUGCAGUAACUAUUCUACUAACAACCAACAAAAGGAAAAAAAAAAAAAACGAUAAUAAAUAAAAUGGAGCCCAUUCCACAUUGUUUUGUACACUUCUCCUCCACAAAGCUAAGCAAAGUAUCUUCAUGUCCACUUAUACCUCGUCACCCAUUUUGUCCAACUCAUUAAAAGGUCAAAAAGGAAUGGGCGACCACAUAGUUGGUGAAGAUGCAUUUCACUAAUUAAUAAUAAUGAUAAUAAUAAUAAAGUUGAUGAGCCCCCGACAACAUGAAAGUAAAAAAUAUAUAUUUUUCCACGUACUGUUCCGUAAGUUUCCCCACAUCAUGUCUCUGCUUAAUUUAUUACUAUGUAUAUAUGGUUGCAUAUGAUCAUAUACUACUGUAGAUGUGUUAUCAAUUAUUGGAUCCAUCUGAUUUUUAUUGAGGUUCGAAUUAUUUUGGAGCAAACUGGAACGUAGAUUUGAUAUGAAUAUCUAUGUUGGAAUUUGAGUUUUAUUCUAAUCAUAAUCGAUUUUGGACGCUUAUAUAUAUUUGUACCUUUUUUAUAAAUUUUUUGAUGAAAAAAAUAUUGAAUGCAUUAAUUUGUAGUGAUAUAAUAACAUUUUGUUAGAGCGUCGUAUGUAGUGAUAAAUUUGUGACUGAACUAUAUAAAUUACUUAUAAUUUUAUUAUUUUUUUCCUUUUAGAUAUUAUGUGCCAUCAAAGGCCUGAAUCAUAAUAACAAAAUAAAGCAUCAAAGUAAGUAGCUUUUUUUUUUUUUUUUUAAGUGUUACACAUAGGUGCUUCACAUUCAUUUUUUUUUAUUACUAUAAAGUAAAUAAACUUUUGUCUCGGGUAAGGCCUUUUUUUUAUUAUUAUUAUUAGAGAAUUGUAUUACACAAAGAAUCUCACCCACCUUUAUGUUUGCAUUGUAAGUUGUAACCCUCUAAUAUUAUUAUUAAAAACUUAAAAAACUAUUUUGUCCUCUCACUUGUGCCUUAUUUGUUGGACCCCAUCCAUGCCUAAUACUCCACUUCUCUCUCUCUCUCUCUCUCUCUCUCUCUCUCUCCCCACCACCUUUAUUAUUCCUCCUAUUUAUCCCUCUUCAUCUCCCUCCACCCCCACCUAGCUCCCCCCACCCUCUCCACACCUAGGAAACAAGAGAGAGAGAGAGAGAGAGAGAGAGAGAUAGAGAUUAUGGGUAACUACAAGUUCAAAUUAUCAGAUAUGAUACCCAAUGCUUGGUUCUACAAGCUCAAAGACAUGGGAAACAUAGGCAAAAGCAGAAGCAAAAGCAGAAGCAGAAGCAAAAGCCAAAGCCAAAGCCAAAUCCAAAGCAUCAACAUAAACUCUCCUAGAAGAAGCCACCACCACCACCACCACCACCACCACUCAAGAAGAGCUUCUCCACUGAGCACCCCAAAGCCGCCAUUAUUCUCCCCACCACCCCAAAAAGCACUUCUCCCUAAAAGAGCUUCCUUCUACAUCUCCUCCCCCACCAAAAAGAACCUCCUCCUCACCACCACCACCUCCCCCUCUCCCUCCCCCUCCUCUACAAGCCCACCAACCCCACCAAGGAGAUCCAAGAAGAAGAGCAGGGUCCGGCCCAUAAGGCCCAAGAAGCCCACCAAGGCCGCCGCCGCUUCUCCGGCUUCCUCCGCCUGCACCUGCCGCCGCGUCUGGGAACCCGACACCCUCUCCGAUCUCUCCUCGCCUUCCCCGAAAAGCCCUUUUCACCUCCGCAACGUCUACGUCGACGACGCCGCAAAAGAAUUCGAAGACGAAGAAGCCGACGACGACGACGAAGGAGAAGAAGCCCAUGAAAGGCCCAUUAACGCCCACCAAGAAUACAAUCACGGGCUCCGUAAUUACUGCACCGUGACCUCCUCUGCCACCGACAUUAUAAUCGACGUUAGCAACAGCAGUCGCAGCGUGAGCAGUACCAGCACUAAACUCGGCGCCGACUUCAACGAUUUGGAGCUCCCCCCCAUAAUAACGAAGUCGGCAGACACGUGUCAGCCCGAGGACGAGCGCUUCGGGGACGCGGCGGAGCGGCGGCGGCGGAGCCCCUCCAACGUAGGAGCAAUUAUGCGGGGCUCCAGCGGCUUCGCGCGCGCGCGAACACCCCCCGCCUCUCCGGCGCGAAAAUCAAAGCACGGGUGUCGACGGCCCCGACCCCGACGAAGAGGGCUCUUAAUAAGGAGAGACUCUCGGGUACGUGAAAUUUAAUUUUACAUAAAAAUAUAAAAAGUUUAUUUAAAUAUAUUUUAAAGGAGUUUACUCUUAUUAUUAUUAUUAUUAUUAUUUGCUAUUGAAGGUUCCAAAUUGAGAAUUAAUUUUGUCAUCCCAAAGUUUUUUCUUAUUAUUAUUUACACACUUUUUUUUUUUCCCGUUCUGUUGAGUUAUUACUGCGUGUUAGAAUUAUUAUGCUCUUAUAAAAUUAAAAUAUUUAAAAAUAUUUAAAAAUUUUGGGUUCCAGUAGAAGACGUAGAUGUUAAUAUAGCGAUACUAAAAGUAAAAAUAGUUUUUAUUAUUAAAGGACAAAAUAACUAUUUUUGUAAUAAACAGUCAAUGUGGGAGCUGACGUAGACAAAUUUAUUGACAAAUUAUGCAAUUUUAGAAAAAUAUAUUAAAUAGUUGUAACUUUUUAAAACGAAUAUUCUUUAAAUUUCUGUGUUGCCUAUACUAAUUAUCUUGAUUAGAUUUUCUCCUUAAUUAUUUCACAUGAAACUGAAUAUAAUUAAUGUUCAGGCACGAGCACCGUACGAAAUAUCUGUUAUAGAGAAGGCACUGUUGCGCAGAAGAGCUUAGGAGGCAGCUUUGUGGUGGUGAAGUCGUCGAUGGAUCCGCAAAGGGACUUUAAGGAGUCGAUGGUCGAGAUGAUUGUGGAGAACAAGUUGAGAAACUCCAAGGAUUUGGAGGAUUUGCUCGCGUGCUACUUGUCGCUAAAUUCGGAUGAGUACCAUGAUUUGAUUGUUAAGGCCUUUGAGCAAAUUUGGUUUGAUCUUAAUUGUAGGUAAUUAGAUUGUUGUAAAGUAAAAACAAAAAAAAACAAAAAAAAUGAGAGAGUAAAAUUAAUAAUUAAUCAUGUGAGUUAAUUCCAUGAUUAUGUAACUUGAUAUAGUUGAUAAAGUUUUGAAUAGUUAUAAUCACUACUUAUCUACUAAGCACAGCGAUAUUUGAUAAUAGUUUCACAUCAUCAAGCGAAUUUAUUUUUUCUUAAAAAAAAAAAAAGCUCAUGAACUCUUUUCCAUAUACAUAUUUUUUCACUAAAAACUCCAAGACUAAAUCUCCACUUUUGAUAAACACUCGUGUGGAGAUCCUCUAAUCACCUCUUCAUCGCUAAUCAAAAUAUCAACAACAGUAAUAAAUAACUGAAUAAUAUAAUCUGCACUACUACAACAGUGCAAACUGCUAUAAUAAAAUACUUUAGGGUCUCGGUUGGCUCGACGAAAAAUUAUAAAAAAUUAUUUUUCGUGAAAAAGUUUUCGGUGAAAAAAAUUUUACGUUUUAUAGUGUUUGAUUUGUCAAAAAAAUAAUUUUUUAUUAAUAUUUAUUUGGUUAAAAAAAAUUAUAUUUAUUUGAUUCGGUAAAAAAGAAUAAAUAAAAAAAAAUUAUGCUGCCUGAGUUUUUUUUUUUCAUCGAAAAACGAUGAAAAAUAAGAACUUCAAUUAUUCUCUAAAUUUAUAAAAAUAUUUUGACGAGAUAAUAUUUUUACGUCAAAUCAAAUAAGUGAAAAUAUAUUUUUUAUAUCGAAUAAAAAUAAUUUUUCAGAGUCGUUUUACCCCAACCAAACUCCCCCUUCUCAGCUUAAUAAAAAGACAAAAAAAUGUACAGUAAAUAAAUAGUCGUGGUUCGCUCAAAAAGCCAUUUUAGGGCCAAAACCUAGGCCUAGAUUUAUGCUGAGAGAACCCUAGAGUUUGCAUUAAUUUCAAUGCGCCACAUAACCCCAAUAAAUGUGGUGCAUGUGACAUAUGCAUAGGGUAAUAAUAAAAUAAUUCGAGUGGUUUAUGUGAAAAGUACGCUACGUUACAAAAUAGGAAGGUUUUUUAUUUAAUCGGAUAAGUUCAUAAUAAAAUAUUUUAGGUGUUAGGGUGAAAGAAGGAGACAAAUUUAUUUUAGAAGUUGACUAAUAAGACCCUUAAUUUUCUAGCUAAUAUUGGUUAAUAAACUAACUUUUUUUUUUUGGUACAAUUUGUACUUUUGUAAGUGAUCAUGAAGAAUAUGGAGAUUUAAUUUGCAGUACAUGAUAUUAAUGCAUUUUUACAGUUUUUAAUUCUUUUUUGUUUGUUGUUUUUCCUGUUCCUUAAUUUUCCUAAGAGCCUUAAUUAGUUACGUUUUUUUAGUUUGUUUGGUGAUAGGUUUUAUAGGUAACAGGUAUUUUUAGCGAUAGAUUAUUUUAAAAGAUUGUUAGUGAAACACUCUUUUUUGGUGGUGCUUUGUAAAGUUUACGUUUAUUAAUUUUUUUUUUCAAAAAACAUAGCAUAAAAAAAAAAUUGCAGCACAUGCUCUGAUACUACUUGUUAAAAAUAGCAUUUUGGUAAACUUUUUUUUUUUUUUUCACUCUAACCUCACAAAAUGGUUUUUAUUAUAUAGGAAAACAGCUGAACCAUGUAUGUAUAUUGAUGAAUUAGAUUCUUUAAUUUUUUCUUUCUUUCUCUUUUUUUCUUUUUGUUUUGUCUAUAUCUAGGGCUAAUGUGAUCAUAGCAAUAUAAUAGCUUUAUUGGCCGUCUCUAACACAAGUGACAAAAUAAUUUAUCAUUAAUAAAUGAGGUCCAAAAUUCGAAACUUAGUUGCUUAACAUUUUCUACUAAGUUCUUUUUAAAAAUAAAUAAAGCGGACAGUAUGUUAUCUUUUUCUUAAGUUAAAAAAAAAUAGAUAUAACAGCUUCACCAAAAGCCUAAGAAAUAACCUUUUUUUUCCAUAUUGUGAAACAACUGUUGUACGGUAAAAGUUUAACGAUAUUUAUAUAUUUUUAUAUUUACUACUCUCUUCACGUUUGAACUCGAGACUUUUUUUGCAAGGCUCAUGAUAUAGACUUGAAUUAAAUAAGAUGAAAUUAAUAAUGUUAGGAGCCUGGCGUAACUCAAACUUAGGACCUUCUGCUCUAAUAUCCUGUGAAACAAUCAUUAUACUAUAAAAACUUAAGUUGUUAGAAAACAAUGUUCAUAUACUUUACGUAUCCUUCACAAAGAAGCAAUUCCUUUCCCUAACCUUUAAUCACACCCUUUUAAAAAAAAAAAAGAAAAAAAGAGAAAGAUUGCAGCAGAAGAAGAGGAAGAAGAAGAAGCAGAAGGCCUCUGACACAAUAUUUAAUAAAUGAUAGAGGAAGCAAUAAAGAGAUCAGGACAAUGUCUUAAUGGUCCUGGGUCUUGCCUGAGACAUAACAGAUUUUGCAACCAUUUUGAGCCAUAUACACAUAGGCCCCAGCAAAAGAACAUCCAAGGUUUCUCUCUCUCUCUCUCUCUCUCUCUCUCUCUUACUUCCAAUGAGAGAGAGCAUGGGAUUCUCUCUCAUUUUACAAAAGAGGACACUCAUUAGUGAGCCCCAUCUAAUUCCACUCAUUCGGGAUCUCUUAUUCUGAUAUUAAGUUAAAUUAUACGAAACAAUCAUUUACUUUUAAAAGUUUAAAUUAGCAGAGAAUGAUGUUUUUAUCACUUUUUAUAUUCAAUAAUUUUUUUCAAAGAAAAAAAAAAUAUAAUGGAAGAUUAAGGGAGAUCUCAAAGCAUGUAUUAGGAAGAACAUCACUCUCAUGUGUACCUGACAAAAAUCUGGUACAUGUCCAACUGAACCAACAAAGGGGAAUGAACAUCUAACUUGCACAAUAAUAUGGCAGGUGUAGGACUGUAGGCCUUUGCUUUUAAAUGCUUUUAAUGCUGCUGCUUUGAAGGACUUUGGAAUUUUCAUCACCUUUGCUUCUCUUUUAAGUCAAAUUCCAAUUUCUCACUAGUUAAUUAACGAAGUAACCUUCAUCAGAAGUUUCCUUUAAAUUUUUCUUUUUCCCCCUCCUAUCACAAUGAUGUUUUAGUUAACAUUUAAUAGGUUGAAUUCUGUAAAAGAUCUUAUUUCAACUCGCGCAUUGAUUGUUGAUUUCAUAUGUCCUUCGUAUCUAUCACGAGUAUUUCUGAUAAAACAUCUGGUGUAGCUAUUUAGUUAUAAAGCCCUAAUGAAUCUUUAGGAAGUUAAGAUUCUUGUAGCCAGCUUUUCGUUGCAGCUAAAACUACAAAAUAUGAAGUUAGAAUUUCUACUUUUUCAGAUUCUGACUGCUUAAUUUGCUGAGAAGUUUUGUUUAAGCUAAUUAUUUGUCAGAUGUCAAGAACUAUUCUACUGCUCACAGUAACUAAAGAGGGCUCAAAGAACUUUAAUUUAAACUUUUUUGGGACCUACAAAUGAGGAGCUGCUAGAAUUUCAAAUCAAAGAACAGUAAAAGUUGCAGUGAGAUCACAUCUGGAAUCUAGCAUACUGUUUAAGCAUUCAAUACUCCUUUUGAACUUUUAAUUAAUUGAACAUUGCAGCUCUACAAGUUCUUGUUCAAAUAAGGCCAUAUAUAGCAUUGAGAUAUCAAAUCAACAGCAAUAACACCCUGCAGGAGGAGUAAUAAAAUCCCAGGUCUUAAUUCUGAUAUAUUAUCUGCAGGAAUUUAAAAAGAUUUGACACAACAUAGCAGGGAAAUUAACCCAGUGUUACAUUAUAUAAAAAUAGCCCAAGUUUUAUCUUCUCAAGAGAUUCCCAGAUUUCAAAAAAAGAAAAGAAAAAAAGGACAAAAUGCUGAGGGGCCUACAUAUGCAACCUUAUUCAUUUCCAAUUUUGGCUCAGCAAGUGCAUCACAUGUAUAUCCCCAAAAGUCGUUUGGUUCUAUUGCAAUUAGGGAGCAGUACUAAAAAUUUAUAAAUUAGAUAGCCAACGUACAACUCUAAAAAAUAAAAUCGCAUCGAAUAACUUAUUUUAUUAGCUUUCUUAGAUUGUUCUUGUCUUGAUGCUUCUUGAUCUUUCACGUAUCUCAUCUCUUUCCAUGCAUUACGGAUCUGAUCGGAUGCGAAGAGAUGAGAUGCAAAGAGGAGUUAUAUACCAGAGUCCUCUUCACAUAAUGUUUCUCUUUUUUUUUAUGUGACUGUUUGUCUCUUUUUAUGUAUAGGUUUCAUAAUUUUAUAUAUAUGGCUCGUAAAUGCAUGAAAAAAGUUAAUUAAAUCCACAAACUAAGUUUAAAUUAAUUAAGCAUGCAUGCAUGCACCUUACAAUAAUGCUUGCUCCACACGAGUUCCCUCGUACUCGAUGAGCAUUCGAUAAUAUCCUGUUUCUCCACGUUCCAAUUUAUUUGUGUAUGCUUCCCUUGUCGUGUUACAUGCAUGAACGCGUUGUUAUUAUUAUUAUUAUUAUUAUUAUUAUUAUUAUUAUUAUCUUUUAGAAAAGAAAUUAUAUCAGCACACUGUCCGUGAGGAACAUGGACCCUAAUAUAUACUGAUAUGUAGUUCACAGAGCCGUCAAUUCUAAUAAAUUUUUUAAUUUAAUUUAAAAAUAUUUCAAAUUGAAAGAAGUAAAAAUCAACUAUAUAUACAGCACGAAUCUUGGAAAUUCAUGUUCUAUAAUUGAGGAGAUCUCGAUCGAUACAUAUUUUCCGAAUGAUUAAUUGUAAAAAUAUGCAGAUUUUAAUAGAGAUAAAAAAAAAAAGUGAAACAUAAUAUAACUUUUUAUGCAAUAUAAUUUUGUUCCAUUUUUCUUUUUCCCUGCAUAUGGUAGUAAUUAAGUAAUAUAACCUAUAUAUAUAAAUUUAAUCAUUUGAGAGGACACUUGAGGAGACAUAUCCCUAAAAUUUCUCACCUACCAUGAUGAGGAAAAUAAAAAAAAAUAAAAAGGAUAAGAGAGAGAGUUGGUUUGGACGCUUAUGCACGUUUCCAAAUUAAUAGCCAAAUAUUUUUUUAACAAAACAUAUAUUAUUUUAUUUUGACUAUAUAUAUGUGACAGAGUGGUCGGUUCUAUAUGUAGUAAUGUAUGCAUGUCUAUGAUAGAUGAGACAUUCAGUGAAUACAAAAUUAUUUUUUUUGUAAAUUUCAAAGAGUAAUUAAUAUUGUGUACAUGUAUAUGAUAAAUAAUAUAUUGUUUUAUCUUUUAAAAAUUAUAGGCCUUUUUGCAUAAAAAAUUUACUUAUUUUGGACUUUUCCAAAAUCGGGUCCUCUUUUUCGUUUUUGCAGAUUCGGUCCGCUUUUUCAGCAAACUGACCAAAAUAUCCUUAUUACUUUUUCUCUUUCCUCUUUCUCUCUCCUCUUCGUUUCUGUAACGGAGGGAGGAGUGGGAGGAGAGGUGGCGGGCGCUGGGGGAGGAGGAGAGGGGCCUGCGGCGCGUUGGGGUAGGGCUAGGGCAGCGGCGCCGCCGUCGCCGACGCCGCUUACCCUAGACCGACCUACGCCUCUUCUUCUGCUGUCGCUUCUUCUUCUUCCCCUCCGGCUCGCCGUUCCGCGUCCUCCCCCUCCGCCUUCGUGUCGGUCGCGGCCGCGACCGCGGCGCCUGGGGGUCGGGCUAGGGCAGCGGCGUCGCCGUCACCGGCGCCGCUUGCCCCAGCCCGACCUACGCCUCCGACUCCGCCUCUUCUUCUACUGCCGCUUCUUCUUCUUCCCCUCCGGCUCGCCGUCCCGCGUCCUCCCUCUCCGCCUCCGCGUCGGCUGUGGCCGCGGACGCGGCGCGCACAAGAAGAGGCAGUCGCGGCGGGGAGGAGGUCGGCGGCGCGUCUUCGGCGGCUGGUCGCUUACCACAUUACCACAUUACCACGUUUACCACAUUGCCACAUUACCACGUUUAUCAUAUUACCACAUUACCACGUUUUAGCAGCCCGACGUACAUGUUCUGCCGGUUGAGCCACAUGGCCGGCCUGAGCAGUCUCAGCGCGAAGUGAUUGAGCGGCCUGUUCUCCGCGCUAGCCCUGUACUGGCCGGACAGCUACCGCGGCAGGCUGCUGCUCAUCAUGCUGCCACUCAGCAGCCUCUCGCACUAUGCGCCGUAGUUCAGUAGCCGCGUGCAGCUGGCGGAGAAGAAACUCGGGGCGCCGCGGCUGUGCCCGAGGUAAGAGCCGCUGCGCCGCGGCUUCUUCCGCCUUCUGCUGCUGCCGCUGUCGCGGUUAUCGCUGCCGCUGCCGCUGCUGCCCCGCCACGGCAAGUUCCUCUCGCACCAACACCGGUACCUCAGCGCGCUGGGGGAGGGGAGGGGGGGCGAGAGGAGGCGGAAGCGGCGGCGGCGGUACCGACAACCGAGCCGCUGCCGCUGCCUCUGCUGCCACCCCCACCCGAGCCGCCGCCGCCGUCCCCUCUCCUCCUCCCCCAGCGCCCGCCACCUCUCCUCCUACUCCUCCCUCCGCUGCCACUUCUUCCUCCCACUUCUCCCUCCGCUGCCACUUCUUCUUCCGCUGCCAGGCCAGGCGGAGAAAAAAAAAACCGCUCUUUNAGCCGACACCGGCGCCUGCGCCGCGCGUGUUCUUCUCCGUCAGCGCCGCCCCUCCUCCAGCCGCCGCGCAGAAGCCGCCGACCAGCGAAUGGUGUAAUGGUGUAAUGGUGCAAAUGGUGUAACGGUGUAAUGGUGCAAAUAGUAUAAUAGUGUAAUGGUGCAAAAUCAUCGGGCUGCAUGUACAAGACGGCCAACUCGGUGUACCGGCCGGACUCGUCAGAGUCGCGCUUCACUAACUCGCCGGACAAGAGGCGCGAUCGGGACAUGACCGGCCUGUCGAUGGCGCCGUCCGACGACGAGUAGUACGACGGUGAGUCGUCGGAGAGCGUGAUACGCGGCAUCAAGUCAUCGGCGCACGUCGACCGCCUCUUCUUUGAGCCCCGCGGCGCCGACACGGGCUCCAUUCUCGGCGACGCGGCGCCGAAGAAGGCGGAAGACGACGACGGCGACAGCGCCAAUAGCGACGGCGACGGCGACGACGGGGCGGUGCCGUUCAAGGAGAGCGUGGUUGUGGCCAUGGAGUCGCGCGACCCCCUCCCCUCCCCCCCGCUCUCCUCCGCCUUCGCCGCCGCCGCCAUGGCUGUUGGCUCGGCGACGGCGACGGAGACGACGGUGGGGGUGGGCUCGGCGGCGGCGGCAGGGGAGAGGAGGAGGGGGUCGCGGGCGGUGGAGAGGAGGAUGAGGAGGGAGGCGACGGUGAAGAAGGAGGGUGAAGAGGGAGGCGACGGUGAAGAAGAAGGCGACGGUCCGGUCCGCCUCUUUUUUUUUUGGCGAGAAAAAAAAAAAGAACGACAGAAACGAAGAGGAAAGAGAAAAAGUAAUAAGGGUAUUUUGAUCAGUUUGCUGGAAAAGUGGACCGAAUCUGCAAAAACGAAAAAGAUGACCCGAUUUUGCAAAAGCCCAAAAUAAGUAGAUUCUUUAUGCAAAAAGGCCAAAAUUAUAUUGUAGAAACCAUGCAUAGUUGGACAAAAGAUAUCAUAUAUAACACAUGCAAAAUUUUUUUUUUUUUUAAGAAAAAAAAAGCAUGCUACUCGCUUCGUUUAUUUCAUUUAGAAAUAAACUUAGUUGGAAAUGUGAAUUAUUUAAGAUUCAAACUUGGGUCUCGGGUAUCAACCACCAAGCAUUUUGCCACUUACUCUAGGGGCGGUCGGUGGCCCGAGAUUUUAUUAAUUUUACACAAUUGAGAACGUACGGAUUAUAUUUUAAAAAUAUGAAGCCGAACCGUAAUCAAAAUCAAUUAUUCAUUCUAUUUUUUUUGCAUGAAAGCAACUCUUUUAUUUAUCAAAUAUCAUUAAUUAAACUAUUACUUGCAGUAACAACAAUUUCACAAACUAGAUCAAAAGGCCACUACAUGUAGUGCAAAGCGAAGCCUCUUGAGUCUUUUUCCUUUUUUUUACAUAUAUGGGUUGAGAGCGAAGAAGCAUAAGAAUUGAAAGAAAAUUAAUUCUUAAACAAAAACAAAAAAAUUAUUAAUCAAUUCUAAAAACUCUAAUUACAUUAACCAAACACUACUUUUAUAUAUUGGCAAUAGUAAAAUCUUGCUAUAAAUUAAAUUUUAAAAUUUUAGCAAUUUUUCUAAUACAAAUAUAUCUGAUCCUAAUAAUUUGAAACUUCUAAAAUCAUAUUCCUAAAUUUUAAGAAUUUAUUCCUUAUAGAAAAAUCCCAAAAAUCUAGAAUAAAUGACUAAAACAAAAUUACCAAAAAGCAAAUUUGAAAAUUAAAAAAAAUAAAAUUUUUAAUUCUAUUUUUUUUUUUUUUUUUACUGGGUCAACUACUGAGUUUUUUGUUUUCUACUUCUUAUUUUGUUUUGGAAAAAAAAAAAAAAAAAAAAAAAAAAAAAAAAAAAAAAAAAACAUUCGAUACGUACACGUACCACAAAGAAAUAAAAAGGUGAUGGGACGUGGCCGUACGUGUGGUCGAACCAUCCGCGUCCACAGCAAAUUUGUAUGCGGUCGCCCCCACCUCUCUUUUGGUCCACAAUUAUGGACAUUAUUAUUAUUAUUAUUAUUAUUAUUAUUAUUAUUACCCUCACUCACUGUAUCAGUACACUGUACACCUUAUAUAUAGCAUGUUUAACUCACAGUAAAAGAUUUCAAAAUCAUGUUUCUAAUUCAUUGAUUGCAUUUGCCGACAUUCAGAAUGUGCAUGCGUCAAAAAUUUAAUAGUUUGAAAAUUUAUUGCGUAAAAAUUAAACAACAUUUCUUUCUGUAUCUAUAUUGUUAAUUUUAAAUAUUUAUGAUUUUGCUUAUGUGGAUUUGCGGUGUAGGAGACAUGGUACACUGGGUGCAGGCAAAAACCACUCGCACAACUGUGUUUGUUAGAUGGCAUGUCAAAUUGCUAAUCAUUUUCCUUUUUUGAUUUUCUUUUUUUUGUGGGACCCUGAGGUGAAUGUGUCAAGCUUGAGUUUAGCUUGGGUUAGUUAGGUUUUGACCUAAUUUAAACUAUUGAUUAUAACAUAUUAAAAUAUUAUUCUGUAUUCUAUAAUCGCUUAAAAUUGUAUUGAAUACAGAUAAUGUCACAUAGCGUUAGAGCAAAAGGUUCCGAGAUCACUCAAUAAUUUUAGUUUCUCCGCAAAUUAUGUUGUCCUCCUCGGAACACGACAAAAUAGAAUCACUAUUCACAUGCACUAGUAUUAACUUUUAUUUAUUUAUUUAUUUCUUGAUGUGUUUGUAUGUGCUCUAAGAUUGUGGAAAUCUUGGUGGGUCCCUGAAAGGUAAUUAGGCAAGAGAAGUGGAGCGUGAUUGCAAAAAAGCCAAAAUUUUAGGGUUUCUGAAACCUAGGGAUUGUGUUCUUUUGACAAAACCCUAUGAUUGAAAUGGUACUGCACGUAUGAGGAGGCCCCUACAGUUUUGUUCUUCUUUCGAAUGAUAUAUAAUCUUAGUAUUAUAUAUAUUUUUGCCUUUUGAGUCUAUAUAUAUAUUUAUAUAUAUUUAAAAAAAUGUAAUUAGCCAUUGAGUUUAGUUGGACUUUUAGGUUUAAUUUGGCAUUUUCUUUUUCUCUUUUUGUUUUCUUUUUGAGGAAAAAAUUGAUGAGUUUAGUUAAUUGGCCUUCUUCUUCUUCUUCUUCUUCUUCUUCUUUCUUUUGCUAAUCUCCUUUUCUUUUCUUUUUUUUGUCUAGUAAUUAUUUUUUCUUAAUAAAUUUAAUCACAAAAAAAGUAAGCUAGGGUAAAAUAAGAAUAAAAAGGAGUUCUCAGAUAAAGAAAAAGCUAAAGCUCCACUCCCUAAGUACAAUAAUUAUUCAGGUAUUAUAUCCUUAAGCAUUUUUUGUCAAUAAACUAAAGUAUAAUUAAUCAAGGAGAAAAAAGAAAUGAUCAAAUAAAAGAAGAGAUUAACAAAGAAUGAAUGAGCCAAAAAAGAAAAGAAAAAAAGGAACCCAGGAGUAGUUAAUAUUUAUUAAUAAUAUUAAUUAUAUCAAGGAUUUUGAAAAUUCAAAAUAUUUAAGUUCACAAAAGUACGUACUUAGUUUCCAUUGAAAAGAUAUAAAUGUUAUGGUACCAGUCCCUUUUUUGAGCACAGGUCCUAACAACUAAAUCUAUGGGGCAUGAACCUAUGUACCUAAACUAUAGUGCUCUAGCUUUUCCUCUAUUUAAUCUUAGAAUCUUAGCUUAAAAUCAUUUUUGUGGGUCAAUUGUGUUGGUAGCUAAAGAGACAAGUCCCAAAAAUAUUGACAUAAUUAAGAUUUGGAUUAGUGUUUCCGACGCAAUUUAUGCGGUAUAAUCUUACUCAAACCCCACAUGAUUUGAUCUCCCCUCCCAAUGCAAUGUAAUCAUCUAUAGUUUGAUGAUGAUCUGAGCUUCUAACCCUUUCCUAUCUCCUCUCUAUUCUACAUUCCACUUGCUAAGAUUGUUAGGUAUAACAGUUCUAUAUUGGAUACAAAAUAGAAUUAUGAUCCGUACGUAAUGCUGAUAGUGUUUUCACAUAAUAUUUUAGGUUUCUGAGUUGAUCCGAAUCUUUUAACAUGGUACAAGAGUCUGAUUUACAUUGCCUAGUAAAUUUUGGCACAUCUAGUGAUCGCGUGGGAGUCACGUCAAGCACGCAUGUCGGUGUGGAACAUUCCUAUAUAUUUAUUAUGUUGACAGGGAAAUCAUCAAUUUCAUGGGGACAAACAUGAAAAUAGAGAUUUUGUAGGGGUAGUAUUUUAAAUAGACAGUUUUGUGGGGGUGUAUAUAGAGAUCAAAUAAUUCAUUCAUUCACAAUAACCUUUUGAACUAAUCCAUCACAAAAUAUUGGGAAAUUGAACUCCACACUUGCAAUUGAUGCAACAACAUGUACAGAGAGAAAUAACUCCUUUUAUUUAUGUUACCAUUUCACAAAUCAAUCACAAAGUACAGGCAAAUUGAACACCAAGCUUGCAACUAAUCCAAUAAUAUGUACAAAGAGAGAGCAUCUCCGACGCAAAUCAUCUCGCAAACACGAAACUCUUGCAAAUGUAAAGCCCCGAAAUCAAUCUACAAACCAAGCAAUCCAAACUUCCUCCUCCAGCAGUCCAAAAAGCAGAACGAAUCAUAAAUGAAAUACUACUGUAGAUGGCUCGAGCACUUCUCGCAUCCUCGGCAAAGUGCUCCGAGUCCCGAAGCGCUUCUCCUCGAUCGAGGGUUGAAAAGGCUCAAUUCCGAUGAGCCUUCUCGAAGCUUUUUCUUUGUACGAAGCAAAAACUCACAUCGAACAAACAAUUUGGUACUCAGGGAGUGCAUAUUAUUAUUUUGUAGGUAACUUGUGAGGAAUCCAAAACCAGAAGCAGUAGAAGGCGAACAAAAGUAUCAUCAUGAAAAGUUGGUCCAAUAUAGAGAUGGUUCUCUCAUUGUGAACCUCAGGAUGCAGUUCUUCGAGGAGAUAGAAAAACUCCAGCGAGAAAAAGGGGUCCGGAUCAUCGGUUAGCUCAAAAAUUAUCUCCCCGGUCGCACUUUUAAACUCCCCACCAGACCAUUCCUGGAUCAUAUAGUACAAAAAUGCAAUAUUAAGAUAUAAUUCUACAGUUAAGGGUACGAAGCGAUUAUUAGGUGUCAAAAACAAGGACCAAUAAAAAAGCAGCAAUAUGCCAACUCAGAUGAAUCACUUCUUCUAUUUCUUAUCCUUUAUAUUCUGAUUGGUUGACUGCACAGAUCACAUGGUAUGGCUAGCAUAACUAAUAUCUUCUCUGCAAAUAUGCAAUUACGAGUAUGCAGAAAGAAUAAGAAACCAUUUUUUUGAUUAAACAGGGGUAUAUCCUAUUUUAGCAAAACAAAGAAUAAGAAACUAGUAUGCAAUAACUCUCAUAAGAAAUCCAGGUUAAGUUGAUGUAGUUAUAACUGGUAGGCAUUGUGUGAAAUUUGGGUCCAAAGCAAACAAGGCAUACCUUGAUAAACUACAAACCAAGUCAAACAAAAAUCGUUUCUCUAGGCUGGUUUGCAAAGAGCCGAGACUAAGUUGCACCCUAAACGGCUAAACCCUACAAGGGCGUAUUGUGUGUUGAGAAGUGUUUUUCUCAGUAACCUAUAAAGUAUUUGUUUGGCCUAACUUUUGGAGGAGGCUUCUCUAGUUUGAAAAGUAGCAGUAAAACAUUUAACAGAAACAAAAAGCCCCGACUUUCGUUUCCACUGGGAAAAUUGCAAUGAGCUUUUAGCCCCCAAAAACUCAAGGCUCAAAUUUGAAGCUUAUGCUUCUAUCACACCAGAAGCUGUUGUUUUUAUUUACGAAAAGGCACUAAUCAGUUCUACAAAAUCUACAGCCGGCCAAAUAGGCGCUAAGAGGCCUAAGAAAUCAUAGUUUGUUACCUGUAGUUGCUUGCCAAUCGUAACAAAUAUGUUGCCAGCUGGCAUCUUGAAAAAGGUCGAGCCUUCGGAAGAGCGGAGGCAAAAUUCUUGAUCACAAGGAGAAACGUGGAGGCUCAGAGCAUAAGAGUGAGGGGCACAGGCGGUACCAAACUCACUCCAAUCCGCUCUCAACUGAUUGGAAUUAUACUGCGUGAGACAAAGAACUGAUGGGACCAUUCUGAUUUUCACGGGUUGCUUCUGAUCUUUCGAGUUUUGAGAGAGAAUUCUAGCAACAGAUUCUGCAACCAAGUCCAUCUUAGCUGCAACUUUCUCCAACUUCUCUCUAGAAAAUAGAAUCCAUGAAAGUCAGGAAUUGAAUUGGAUAUCAGAUGGUAACAUAUCAAACAGAAAGAUAAAAAAUUCAGUUGUCUUAUUUCAUAGUAAGAAAACCAGAGUUCAAAAGUAAUAACCUAAUACACUUGAAAGAGCAAAUGGUGCUAGGAAUCUCAGGUAGUUACAGGCCGUAACGAGUUGAUGUAAGGGAUUCAGAAAUUAGAACGAGUUAAAAAAAGAAAUUUCUUGGUGCUAGGAGUGGUUUUAUGAACUCGCUAGAACAAAAUUUUUAGAUUCGCCAGACUACAUAUAGUCCAUUGUGGCUGGGAAAGCCAUAUCAGAACAAACCACCGAAAAGCUCGCAUAGGUUCAUCAACAAAUCUGAAUCACUAACUGAAUAAACAUAACUUCGUGUAACUAUUCUAAUCACAACAACGACUUUCUUAAAACAAAAUGACAGCUAAAAUAUCAGCAAAGUCACAUAUCCCCCAUAUGAAGUCUGAGAAGGCUACAACCAAUAGUCAUAAAAUCCAUUUUUGCAUUUGACAAAGUUUCUUAAUUCAAUGUACAUGGAUGAUUCUUUGAUUGUAUGUUCCAGGCUUCAUACAGAGUGACAAUGCAGACAUGGAAACAAGUCCAACGCUAGAGGCCGAUAAUGAGAACCGUGUUAUUAUUUUUUAGAGAAAAGUAGCAUGCUACCGACCUCGUUCAAUUUGUUUAGAAAUGAACUAAGCUGAAAAUGUGAAGCAACUAGGCUUCGAACUUGGGACCUAGGGUACUGACCAUCAAUCCCUUUACAACUUGUGCUAGGGACGGUCGGUGGACUCUGUUAUAUUUAUUAUUAACACAUAGAAUAACAAGUGCUGCCUUUUUUGAACAUUGCUAACAUACAUUUCAAUUAUGGAACUAAAAGAAGGCAUAACAAAUGCAUUUUUAUGUCAAAAGAACAAAAAGGACCGAGGCACCGAACCAGAGUCUCGUAAAGAAAUAAAUACAUCUAGAUAACUAACUCUUCAGUUCAAAGAGAUUCAUACGAGUAUGUCAUCGUGCUAAAAGAAAGUGCAUUUCUUCCGGUUUUUAUCAGUAAUAAGGCAUUUUCAGGGCAAUUCGCAUAAGGAAUACAGAUACCAAACACUCUAUAUAAAUCUACAAUUCUUAAGGGCUUUAAAUAUGAGGUAUAGCAUAACUUGACUCGUUUAAUGCAGGGUUCUAGCCAUGCAAAUAUGUCGAAUUGGCGAGUAUAUUAACAAUUUGAGACAGGUAAGUAACUCAUUAUAUGAGCAAUGAAUUUAUAAAUUCAAGCUUGAGUUAAGCUAGAGUGCCGGAGUUCACACAAUCUGAACAUGUAAUGCGAGAAUUAACAAUAAGUAUACAUGAGUUAAACGAUUUUUGUUACAUAACAUAUGCAACUACCAAUACAUAUGCAAAUGUUUCGAUCGUGUGAAUAACAAGAAUCCGUUUACAGGUUGUUGUUCUAUGGAAAUGCAAGAAGAAGCAAUACCGUAGCGCCCGAUACGAACCGGGCAACGCCGCCUCGAGCAUCCGAUCCGCCUCUGCCUCGGCCUCGGCGCUUCCGGGGCGAUGUCGGUAGCAAUAGAACUCCUCCCCGACCACGUCCCUCCGGCGGAACCACCGCUCCAUCUCCCUCUUCCUCUCCUCCCCGAUCCCGAACACCUGCUUUCCGGAAUCGACCGCCGAUCUCACCUCCUCGGCGGCCGACGCCGCCGCGGCGAUCGAGAAGCCCCCGGAGGCCGAGGCGGCGGCGACGGCGCGGCGGAGGGCGGCGGCGUCGGGGCGGAGGAGGGAGGGGAGGGGGAGCUCCUCCGGGGGCGCGGCGGAGAUGGCGGUGGAGGAGCGGGAGUGGGAGAGGGAGAGGGAGAGGGAGAGGGGGCGAGGACGGGGGAGGGUGAGGUCGGGGACGCGGAGGGAGGUCUCGAGGUAGUCGGCGAGGACGCGGUCGUCGACGGCGGCGGAGCGGGCGCCCUUCGCCGUCUUGAUCGGCGUCGGCGGCGGCGCCCGGAAUCGCGGCCGCCUCGGGCGGGGCGCCGACGCCGGCAUCGAUCGGAGGCGGAGGCGGAGGCGGAGAUAUGAAAAGCCGUUGGAUUCGAAACUGGGAAAAGCGCUGGCUCUUCCAAUAAUCGGGGUAAAUUGCGUGGAUAGUCCCUGCACUACCUUAUAAUUGGUNCCUCUCCUCCCCGAUCCCGAACACCUGCUUUCCGGAAUCGACCGCCGAUCUCACCUCCUCGGCGGCCGACGCCGCCGCGGCGAUCGAGAAGCCCCCGGAGGCGGAGGCGGCGGCGACGGCGCGGCGGAGCGCGGCGGCGUCGGGGCGGAGGAGGGAGGGGAGGGGGAGCUCCUCCGGGGGCGCGGCGGAGAUGGCGGUGGAGGAGCGGGAGUGGGAGAGGGAGAGGGGGCGAGGACGGGGGAGGGUGAGGUCGGGGACGCGGAGGGAGGUCUCGAGGUAGUCGGCGAGGACGCGGUCGUCGACGGCGGCGGAGCGGGCGCCCUUCGCCGUCUUGAUCGGAGUCGGCGGCGGCGCCCGGAAUCGCGGCCGCCUCGGGCGGGGCGCCGACGCCGGCAUCGAUCGGAGGCGGAGAUAUGAAAAGCCGUUGGAUUCGAAACUGGGAAAAGCGCUGGCUCUUUCAAUAAUCGGGGUAAAUUGCGUGGAUAGUCCCUGCACUACCUUAUAAUUGGUGGGACCUAAGUUUCUUUUUUUUUUUUUUCUUUUUUUGUACUUAUCUUUUGAUUUCCAGGUUUAUUCUAGUACUUUAAUAAAAAUGUUAAAUUUUUUUUUUGACGAAACCAAUAUUUUUUAUCCUUCAUUAAUAUACAUCUAGUAUAGAGUUUGAAAAUUUAUUUUUCAAUUAAAAAACAUUUUAAUAUUUUUGAAAAAGUGGAGAUAUGUACGUACUGAGUAGUAGCGAGUUUCGAUAUAGGGAUAGUUGGGGGACUUAGUGACACAUUCUACUCUUUCUUUUCCUUUUGUCAAUAGAGAUGGCGAGGAAAAGGACGUCGCACCGUAACCGUUCAUCCUGCGGGUUCCAGCGGACGAACGGCUGAUGCGGCGCUACAUGACUGCGGGGCACGACGGGGAAAAGCGCGCCAAGUUUGGUGACAGUUGGGCUGGUGGGACCCGCCUGGGUGGAAGUGCGGGAAGCUAUGAAAGAGCGAUGAGAAAGACUAACAAAAAUCAGGCGGUCGAGCCUGCGUUGGUUGAGAUUAUGUAAAAAUGCUUAUUAGAGUUUUUUUUUUGCGCAAACCAAAAUGAGACCGCCGGAGACGUUGGAUUUGUAGAUUCUGCAUAUAAUAUAAUACAUGGGGAAUAGGAUACACUAGUAUCGCAAAGCACUUGGAUUGAGAUCAGCACGAUUCUUAUAGGCCGACGAUGCACGGCCAUCCAAUAUAGAAAGCAAAAUACCUUCUAAACCUCGUUUGAGAACGAGCUCCCCAAAUGCAGUAAUCAAUUUUGAAGAUGAUCAAUCACAGGCGGAGCAACAGCGCCGGCCGAUCAUGCACAUUCGGUAGGACUUUGAAUUCUGAACAAAGAAUUUCAACCCUCUCUGGGGUCUCACCAUUAUGCUAUCAUUCGCUGCAAGUAAACAGACUUUUCUUAAAGGAAAAUCUGAGCUGCAAAAGAACAGCCAAAAUCCAACUGGAGAUUCCAGUACAAGAGUCGGAGUCAGUGUCCGAAGAAACUCAGUAUAAUCGUGAACACAGAAGAUGAAACCAGCAAUCACAUUGUGGUGCCAGGACGGCAUGGCUUGCCCAGAGACAUGAUAAUAUACAUAACUAUUUCGGUGAUAUAUAAUCUCAAAGUCGAUAAAAAAACUCAAAAAAAGUUUUGGUCAAAUUAAGAAAAGAAGUUCAGCUUUUCGUCCGGCCACCAAUAUCAAGACAAACUCAGAGAACAAGUACUGUGAUACCUAAAAACGAACAUGAGGCUCAAAAAAGACAUGCUUUCCAGAGGGCAAGUUCAAAACAAAAAAAUCUCUUAUCAUUCCCAAGCCAAAUUCAAGGGUGAAUCAGCAAUCAAGGCGGAAAAUCAAGAGAAAAAUCACGGACGAGGAGGAGCAUUAGGGGCACCAGCAGGGCGGGGACCUUGCCCAGGCCUGUCAUCCUGCAAAACAAACAUGGAUAUACAAUGAUUACGACAAACUACAGAAAUAAUGAAAAGAAAGCAGCGGAUGGAGUGUCAUAGGAAGAUCUUAUUAAAUUACAACUGCAACAAAAAAUAGCAAAUUGGCCUAAAGAAUGAGCUCAGUAGCGACACGAAAUCACUAAAUCAACAAAAUCUUGCGUCGACACAAAAAGGUAUACAAGGUAAACCUUUGUUAGUUAUGGAGAACACCUUUUGAUUUGAAAGGGGGAAAAAAAAAUGUCCCAUCCUUAAUGAUCAGCUAAGAAUAAAAUUUUAAUAGCUGACAAAGUGACGAGAUGGUGAUUAAAGUAUUAGGGACCGGUUCAUCCCAGAGGAACGAUGUUACAGCCAAUGGGGCAGACGUGCAGUCCCGCAUUAUUAAAAGAUAACAAAGUUGCGACAAAGCAGUUCAGCAACAAAAAUUAAAAAUUGCAUGCCAUUCUGAAAAGGCUAAGAAACAGUUAAAACAGUUUUAAAAUGAUCGAUAUUGAGAAAAAUGGCUACGAAGUUCUAAAGACUCUAGUUAAUGCUAAAUAUAAAACUUUUCAGGUUGAAGAACAUUCCCCAAUAAAAUUAUAUAAAAUAGAUAUACAACAAAGUGAGGGCUCGCUAGAUUAUUAACCAAAAUGCUUCAGUGACAUUAUGGAAAUAGGCAACUUCAAGAGAGUUCAAAACCUAGAAAACCCCUUUUCUAAUCAUCCUAAGGCCUGCUGUAGAGUAAGAAACAAAUCCAUAACAAGAACUCAAAAGACGUUACAGCCUUGCAUUAGAGCAUUUCGGCAUGUUGAUUCACAUUCUAGUUAACACAUCCAGAGGUUAAAAAAAAAAUCUCAAUUACUAUAAAGGCUUACCGAAGUAUAAUAUAUAAAUCAUGUCAACUUAUGAACUAAACCUUCCAAAAGUAAUCAGCUCUCGUCCACCGAUUUAACAAAUAAGAAGUUCAAUUUCAUGCUUCAUUGUAGCUUAUCAUAAUAUGAUCUUCUUAGACUGAACCGAUAUUAGAACAACCUUAAAAUUAAUAGAUACUAUUGACCUGAGAAUAAAUUAAGUGGCCUAAGACUUUCACCUUGCAACUGGAAAACAAUAACAACAAUCAAUUGAUUCACAACUCUUUCACUAAUAAAUUCACUUGCAGAAUAGCACAUUAAGCCUAUCAUAGUAUAUCACGGACAUCUCCCCCUAAAUUUGAGAACAAGUGGCGAUAUUUACUAAUAAAAAUCGGAUAGCCAAUUAUUUCCAAAAGCAUUUUUUAACAAAAUCAAAUAAGAUUCGCAUAUCCCAACAAUAUAUUCAUAUGUUCAAUACAUCAAUUCAAGUUACUGCAGCAGUGAACUCAUGAGAUCGAAGCAUGAAGAGAUUACCCUGCGCCUGAAACGCUCAGGAGGCCUACGGUCGCGCCUGGCCUCGCGAGAACGGACGCGAACAACGUGCGAGUGGAUCGCGCAGGAAACACAGUACUGCAUCUUCGCGUACAGCUUCGGGAGAGUGUAACCUACAAAAUCACCAGAAAAUACUCAAAUUUGCACCUAAAAGAAACAAAAAAAAAACCCUAGAAACGAAGAAGAUCGAUACAACCAUACCAUCAUACACGCAGGCCUCUUGCACGUCCCUAACCGCGGCUUGCUCGACGAUGUUCCUCACGAGAAACCUCUUGAUCGCCUUAUCCUUUUGUAUAAGAUUUGAGAUCCAAGGGUUAGGGUUUAUACAUCGAACUGUAUACGGCCGAGCGGGCAAGAGGGAGCGAUCUAGGGGUUUACCUUGGGGCAGCAUUUGCCGCAGUUGGAGCAGCGGAUGAAGUUGACGUGGCCGCGGCCGUGCUUGUUGCGGCCGCCAUUCCUGCGCUUGAACGUCUGAGGAGAAGAAGGAAACGACUCAGAUCAGCGAGAAUUGAGAGGAAAAGAAGGGGAGAUCUAGGGUUAGGGUUUCGUACCAUGGUGAGGAGGGAGAAGACGACGGUAGGGUUCUCGCGCCUCCUUCGCUAGGGUUUCGAUUCUCGUGGAUGCGCAAGAGAGAAUUUAUAGGAAGCAGAUGAUCUUAGCCGUCCGAUGAAUAGAGCGCGGGUAUUUUUGCGAAAGAGCCCUCGUGGUAUGUCAUAUUUAAAAACACCCACAGCGACGGCGCUACUUCAUAACUAGAAAUUAGUGUAAAUUUAAUUUGUCCUCAAACGGAGAUUAAUAUAAUAAAAAUUAAAAUCUGAGUUUUUAUAAGCCAUAAAUCCCAAUUUAGGCAAUCUCCUAGAAAGAUAAUUAGACUAAAUUACAAAAUUUUUUGCAAAGUACAAUGGAAACUUUGGAAAAUUUUCAAAUAUGUAAACAUAGAUGUUACAAGAUCCACGCAAUAAUCGCCCAAAUAUUAUUUGGCACCCCCCGCCCCAAAAAAUAACUUCGAAGGUGCUUCAGAUGCAAAACUUUGAUUCAAAAUGAACUUAAAAUAUAAUUUGGAAAGCGCAGCGUCCACAGUAAAGGGAGUAGAAGCAACUUACUUUGAAAUAGUAGAAUAAUAUAUUGAAUUGGAUUUUUAGAAACCAAUAACUCAAUAUAUCUCUAAAUAACAAUGUAAGAAUUAAGUCCAGAAACAAAAAUAAAUCAUAAGUGACAAGAAUAAAAUACAUCGGCAACUAAUUUCUAAAAAUAACAACAAAGAAAAAAAAAAAAAAAAAGCUGCUACAGCAAAACAGCCCCUCCCAUCUGCCCUCCAAAACUUCUCUGGAGUUUCUGCAUGAUUAUAAAACAGAUGAGGGUCUUUUCUUCAAAAAGAGUUGAACCUCCUGACUAAAUACUAAUCCACGAAAAUCUCAUGCUUGUAAAUCUUUGUUCGAGCUCCAUAUCGGGCCUUUCGACGCCAAGCCAUCCGAUCCAUUUUCUACGCCGAUUAGAGGGUCGGAUUCACUUUCCUUGGCCUGGAAUCAUUUCCGAAAUACGGGUGAGAAAGAAAUGUCGAUGUGCAUUAAUGUAUAGGAAAUUUAAAAAGAAAAAGGCUAAAUUGCAGGAGAUCCCUUUAUUUUCUUUUAGUGAAAGGAAACCUUGCAUUAAACAUUGAUAUUUUCACUUUUCUCUAAAAUCGUAAAGCCAAUAUAUCGAGAUCUUAAGCUAUUAGAUUCCGCCAGUUUACCACCUUAGUCAGCGUUCCUUUAGGCAAUAUGUCUAAGGGGAUCAAUAGGGAGGUUUUAAAAUUUCGCAACAUUUGUAGGGUGCAUUCCCGAAAUUAGUUGAACUUCAAGAAACUAUACCAUAACAAAAAAGGCUUCAGACUGUAGUAUCUAAGUAAUGGAAUUAUAGGUAGGAAAUACACGGGGCAGCAGUGAUACCUGAGAUAGCUGGGUUGACGAUUCAGCCGUCUUUUGUUGGCUCUCCAUCGAGCAGAAGUAAGAAUACAAGAUCAUCCCAACUAACGCGAUUAGAAUUCCUACUAUGUUCCUCCAAUUAAAUGGAUCAUGAAGUAAAACAUAGCCAAAUGUUAGGACCAGGCAGGUUUUCAAAUGCCCUAAGACUUGAUAAGUCACAGGGGAUGUCUUCCCAAUAACCAGAAAUGUGCUGAAGUUGACAGAGACAGAUAUUAGGCACGAAAGCACAAUGAAAACCUGAAGUUAAAAAGAAAAAAAGAAGAAUAAAGUCAAAAAGUUCUUCACGUUAAAGAGAAAUGCACAAGAAGAUUGAUUUUUUUUUCUCCCUUACCAAAACUUGAGGAGUAUAAUUGAAAGCGAACACAUUCUGGUUAGUUAAAAGCCCAUCAAGAAAUGGGCCAACUAUGAACAAAGUCAAUGCUUGAUAUGGGCACGAUUGAUACAAGAGUUGGGUCGAAGAGACUUUGAAUCUCUUCUGGAUAGUGUUUGUCAUCUGAAAAGAACUGGUUAAGCUUUAAAACAAUGCACGAAAUAAAAGCAUUUGAAAUUCAAGUAUGAGACAAGUAGAGGCCCAAUAAGUUUAAUUACAUAUCGGCUCAAUAUGACUAUCAAGAUGUCCUCGUCUGCCUAACCUUAUAUAUAUAUUAGUUCAAUUAGGAUAUUCAUGAAAAUAAUUUAAAAAGGUCAAUGAUACGUGAGGGAAACAACGUCAACAGAUUAGGAUACAAUUUGUGCGAUGCAAGUCGUGAAUACUGCAAGCAGAGAUAAGACAGAUCCCAAAAGAUUGAGUUGAAGAUCAGUCACUGUCGCGAUACCAACACCGAGUAGAAGAAUGGUGAGUGAAAACUGGAUGCUCCGACUGCAAUUUUGAGAAAUAAAAUAUUUAUUAAGCAAUGUGCAAUAGGUAUAAAGAGUAAUAGAUGCGUAAAUCAAGCAUACCAAACAACAACGUCCACAGCUACGAAGCUUAUGUACGGGAUUAAUUUAAAUUAGUAGUUGUUAUCAAAUGAAGUCUUGUUUCUGUUAUCAAUUUUGAAAAGGAAUUUAGUUUAAACAAAUAGUUCUUACCAAAUAGAUCUUUCUCUUGUUAGCAAUGUUGCAGUUAAACAGAAUUCCAUAUAUAGCUACAUAAAUCAAUGCAGGAAAGACUAACUUAAGAACAAAAAGUUAACCUGAAUCUCUUCCUGAAGAAAAGUGUCUCUAAUAAUAUAGUGCAAGGAAUAAUUGCCAGUUUUGUCAUCUGAAAUGAAGCAAAGACAAUAAGAGAAGCAUCAGCAGCAGAAUGGAAGUGGGAAGCCACUAUACCUACAUGUUUUGCCCACUUACAAGGCAUGAUCAAAUAUCUUCUAUACCAGAGUUUGUUUGCAGAAAACUACAAAUCUGAUUCAAAAGAGAUUAUAACGAAAUUGAAGAGCUAACAUCAUCUGCUAAUCUGAACAACAGUAAGCCCAACCUACUACAUAUUACAUGCAAUGGAAACAAGAUCAGAAACAUUCUAAUUCAACACAAGCUGAAGACUGAAAUUUCACCUGAUAAAAACCAACAGAAUUGAAACCAAGACUUAAGUUCAGCAGCCCGAUAGAGAUUCCAUUCAGUAUUCCAAAGCCCAUUACUGCCCUUGGAUCAAAAGGUUUGUGUUCGAAUAAUUUCAUCCAAAGUGCCACAUGAAGCGAACAAAAUGUGACCAGGAGAUGCCAGCUCGUCAAAGUAGUAGCUGCAAAACAGAUGGAAGUAAGCAUAUCAUGACAAUUAGAUUCUUCAGCAAAUACAUACCAAUCCAACAAAAAAAAUAUGCUGGGCAUUAUUUAGCUCUAGUGGUUUGCUUGGUCCUUUGACUCCUUUCUAAAUUCUGAACAAAGAUGAAGUUUCAACGCAAUCUGAUAAAGUGAGGGAGAAGUUUUUACGAAUUACAGACAGUUUGACCUCUCCUCAACAAGAACAAAAAAUCAAUUCAUAAGUAAUGAAACUUUUUGCUUUCACUAUCUGAAGAUUCCAAUUAGAACAACUCUUUAACAGCUCGCUCGGUUUUGGGGAGAAAUUUCAUCAGCAAAAUUUUUCUAUUUCUCCUGCAAUCAUUGGAUGACAAGAGAAAAAGUGUAUUUCCAAUUUGGCUUUUACAAUGGAAGUAACUGCCAUACUUAUCAGGACAACUCUAACGAAAAGGAUAAUCGUCAUGAUUACAAGGAUAACUAUGGAUAAAGUGACGAAUAGAAUAACUCCAAGGAUUGAUUCAAGUAGCAUUUCUCUGUUCACCGUAGAAUAGCCUGAUACGAUCAACGAAGACAACUAUCCCUAAACUAUUUUCUGAUGUUUGACGAAAUAUAUGAAUAAGUUGAGUAAUCCCCCGUUUUCUCCAAAAAUUGUAGUAAUGUACCAUCCACAGAUGCACAAAGAUCUCCAAAACUGGCAUAUCAAAAUUAAUCCAUGAGAAACAACAAUGUCGCCCGAUUCACAACCAAAAUCAAACAACUAGUAAGCCAAACGACAACGAAAAUCAAUACAAAUCUCGAGAGUUCUCACCGAAUGUGAAGCCGAGGGUACUAAUCAGGGCCUUGUUGCAGAUCACGAUCGACACCGACGACACCACGGAUAGGCUCAGCGCCCCCACCGUCCCAAUCUUGCUAUCGCCCAUCUCCCACUCCCCGGAUUCACCUCCUCCUCCUUAUCUACAGCUCCAAUCUCAGGCAGAGUCUACAAUCUACAUUCAUAUCAGAUCGAAAUCGCAAUGAAAAAAAAAUCAAAAAACCGCCCAAAAAAAUCGGAGAACAGCGAUUUGGAGGACGAUCGAGACGCACCUCAUUGAAGGGAGAACGAGAUCUACGAUCGAGCGAGCUCCAUUUGCGAAGAAUCGAACCCUAGAUCCGGGGAGAAAGGGGAGGAGGGUUCGAAGUGGGAGGAGAGAGAGAGAGAGAGAGAGGAAUUUUUUUUUUUUUGCUUUUUUCGGAAAUUUGUUAAAAUAAUUUCUGACGCAAAAAUGACAAGGACGAGAAAGUGGAAAGAAAAUCUAGCGGGGCCAGUUUUUCUUUUUCUCUUUUUUUUUAAUAUUUUUAUGUUUUCACUUUUUUUUCACUUCACCCCCCUAAGUUUUCGCUUUUUUUAAUUAUUAUGGGCAAAAGUUACUAAUAAUUCAACUAUUUUUUUAAAAUACUAUUGAAACAGGACUAAAUAAACACUGGCGAACUACUAAAAAAUAAAAAAAAAAAUUGUGAGGGACUAAAGUGCUUUAAAAUUAUCAAUCAGGAAUAAUUUGAGAAAUAUAUUUUCAAAAAUGGAAAGAAUAUGGUGUUGGUGCACUGAAUCUAAUUUGAUUCGGGCGCGUGAAUUGGAUUUAGUAAUUUAUAUAGUAUAUAACUUGGAUUCAAUAGGGAAAAAUUAAUUUUGCGUAGACCAAGUCCAUAGACCGGGUUCUCGAUCUCAGAAAUUCAAAUUUAGAGUUUUUAAAAUCUAUCUAAAAAGCUAAAUGUAAAUCGACUUCCUAAGAUUUUAAUUCAAUCAUUCAAAAUUAAAAAUUUUGAAUAUAAAAAGGGUAAAAAUUCUUAUCACAUUUUUUUUUGGGCCCCAUGGGUCUCAACAUGGAGGAAUUCUACACUAUCAUACUUACACCACGUCAUCAAUAACAAGCCAAUUACAUUCCUUCUUUUCAAAUAAAAGUACAAAAAAAAUAUUUUUUUAUAAUAAUGAUGGGACAUAUAUCUCUAAAAGAAGACAUUUGAUUGGUUUGUUACGCCACGUCACCAAUACACCCGUUGCAUUCUAGAAUUUUUUCUAAAAUUUUUUCUCAACAUGAUAGCAUAGAGUGUUUCAUUGGAAAAAUUCUAGAAUGCAACGGGUGUAUUAGUGGCGUGGCGUGGUGUAACAAAUCAAUCAAAUAUCUCAUUUUAGGUGUAUAUAUAUAUAUAUCCCAUCAUGAUUGUAAAAAAAUAUUUUUAUUGUAUUUUUAUUUGAAAAGAAGGAAUGUGAUUGAUUUGUUAUUGAUGACGUGGUGCAAAUGUGACGGUGUAGAAUUCCUCGUUUCAUUGAUAUGCAACUUUAGAACGGCACCUGGGUCAACUGCCCAAUUUACUGGAAAAAUUAAUGAACAAAUAUAUUUACUGUGCAGAAAAUUAUUGCACAUGGGUUAAUCACAUAUUAAAUUUUUUUAAAAAAAAAUUUAUAAGCGAAAAAUUUAUGCAGUUAGAUGUGUUGGCGGUAGGUCUAGCAAUCUCUAUACGUACCGCUGGUACUCUAGAGUUAUCCAAAAUUUUGUAUACUAAUUUUUCUUAUUUAUAAAAUUAUGAAUAAAAUAGAUGGAUAUCCAUUAAGUUGUGAGCAUUUUGAGAAACCCGCGGUUAUAGAUAUCCUUAUAUUUUUCAUAUAUAUAAUCUUUACGAUUUUACCUCUAUAAUCUAUCAUAAAAAUUUAGGAUGAGAAAAUACUUUUAUAUUAUGUAAUUUAUGCGCUUUAAUAUUUUAUAUUAUUUAUUGUAUGUUGUGAUAUUUCAAACGGCAAAUUUUGCUAUGCUUUUAAUAAUUAUAUAUAUUUAUUUGACAUUUAAAAAUAUAAAAGCAAAAAAAGAAAAAAAAAUCUUAUGGAUAGCCUGCAUGCCCAACCGUCCAUCAAUGGUGGGGUAUGAAUAAAGAUGUUGAUUAUUCAAAAAUUCAAGAUAAAUUUUAUUCAUGCUCGUAUGAUCCGUCCGUGGGUUACUCAAUGCACCCGUUUAUCAGGUUUAGUUGGUGGGUAGACAUUUCUAUUUCUGCAUACACACGGUGGUUAAAAUCUCUGAUCACCUAAACAGUAUCUUAGAUAAGAAACAAGCUACGUAAUUUAUCCAGUGAUCGUCAUUCUUUGUACAAUUCAUGAUGGAAAAUUAGUAGAGAUAUUUUAAUCUUCUGUUCCAAAAGACUAAAAAGUGAAGUGAGGGGUAUGAAGUGGAUUUCAAGGGGAAGUGAUGAUGAUCUCCAAAUGUUAAGUAGACUAAGGAGUGCUGUUUUUUAGCUUUGUACGCUCAGAAUCUUAUUUGUGUAUGAUUUUAACCUUUAUCACAUAUAUGUUUAAUUUUGUACACAUGUAUUAUACACGUUUAAAAGCAAUUAUAUUUUUUUUAAAAAAAUAAGUAAGACUUUUGGUACGAGAGGUUAUAGUUUAGGACUCAUAAAUUAAAAUCUAACGUGUUACUAACAUUAGUAGGUUGGACCAUUAUUUGAUAUCAGAACUAAUUUAUCGGUCAGAAGUAAAGACUAACGACUCUAGUAAUCUAAUAACUGAAUUUAAGCAUAAUGAAAAAAAAAAUUAUGAAUGCAAACAUAAAGAACAGCGACUCUAACGAUUGAGCUAAAGAAUAGGGCCUAAAUAGGAGAAAAUAUGACGUCCAUUAAUCAGACAUCCAUCAGAAAAUAAAUUAUGAUUGAAAACAUGAGAUGAAGGACUCUAGUAUUAAUAACGGGACAUAAAGUUCGAAUCUGUAAUGAAACUGGGACCAAGCUUCACUGAAGGCAUGUUUGUUUUGUCGAAAAUAGAUUUUGAAUUGAGGUGGAUUUUGCAUUGGAGUAGAGUUCGGUAAAAUCUAUUUCUUUUCUACUGUUUGUUUUAUAGCUAUGAAAGUGAAGUUCGUUUAGUUUUACUGUUAUUAGCAGAAAGUGACUCUUCAGUUUUGCUAUUUGUUUGGCAGAAAGUAAAUCUGUCACGCCCCAGGGCUUAAUUGGUAUGAGUCUUGCUAUAAAACAAUGACGCUCUAUAAAUUAGAGUUGCGAAUUUUUUUCUUUUUUUGAAAACAGUCUAAUUCACGUGACAUACAGACUCGUCACAAAUAAAAAUUCCUCUGCUCACACGAACAGAAUCCCCUUUGUAAUUUGUACAGCGUACCAAUCAAACAAUAUCAGCCAGAUCACAACUCACAACCUACAUUCACUUAAUUCACAAACAAUCAAUGCAAUACAUGUCUAUACAGCUAAUCAUUUUGCAAUGAUGCAUGUCUCUAAACACUUCUUAACCGCUAAAUGAUGCUAACACUGCCAAACAAACAACAGAACUAUAGAAACUUCAUUUCCAUAUCUAUAAAAUAAACAGUACGAAAGAAGUAGAUUUCAUGAAUUCCACUUUAAUAUAGAAUUCACUUCAACCUAAAGUCUACUUUUGGUGGAACAAAUAUGCCUUAAUAUCUAUUACUAUUAAAUCUAUUAAUAAAUUAAUAAAUUAUAUGAAUCCUCAAUAUAUUUUGGCACGUGGCAAGUUUUUCUUCACCUUCACCACCAUGUAAUUCUUCAUCUUCUCUCCAUUAAAUUUUUAAUUAACGUAUCUAAUUAAUACAUUUAAAAUGACAUACUACUAAACUUUCAAUUAAUGUAUUUAAAUGGUCCCCUAUCAAGUUUUUCUUCACCUUCACCAUCAUGUGAUUCUUCCCCUCUCUUCAUCAAAUUUUUAAUUAACGUACCUAAUUAAUACAUCUAAAAUGGUCUACUACUAAACUUCCAAUUAAUAUAUUUAAAUUCUCCAUUAAAUUUUUAAUUAACGUAUCUAAUUAAUAUAUUUAAAAUAGCCAACUACUAAACUUCCAACUAAUAUAUCUAAAUGUUCCCCCAUGUCAUUUAUAAUUCUCACUAUUUUAUUUCUAAUUAAUUUAUUACGAUCCUUCACUUUUCCUUAGAGAUGUCAAAGGGUCGGAUUCAAGGCGGAUUUUUAAAAUCCGAACCCGAACCCGACUCCAAAUCCGAGACCCGAACCUGAACCCGAACCCGACGGAUUUUAAAAAUUCAUAUCCAAACCCGAACCCGAUCAAAAAUCCGAAACCAGAACACGAACCCGAACCCGACCCGAACCCAAACCCGAAAAUUUGAACCCGAAACAAUUAUUUUUUUUUUCAAUGUUUCAAAAUAUAUUAUAUUAAAUCUAAAUUUUUAAAAUACAAAUUCAAAUAUAACAUCAAAUAUAUAUAUAUAUAUAUAAUACAAAAUAAAUUCGGGUUCGAGUUCGGGUUCGGGUCGGAUACAAUCAAAAUUCAUAUCCGAAUCCAUAUCCGUCGAGUUUCUAUUUUUUAUAUCCAUAUCCGAAUUCAUAUCUAUAUACAUCGGAUAUAUCCGUUUCAUUCGGGUUCGGGUUCGGAUAAAAUUUUGGAUAUCCAUACCUAUUGACAUCCCUACUUUUCCUCCACAAGACUUCUAAAUAAUCCAUUUAAAUAGUUCGUCGUCAUUUACAAUCCUCACAUCUUCAUCCCUCAUCUGUUUUCUAAACCAUCGCCUUCCUCCCUUCCUCCCUCUCUCACACUACUACGCGCUUGCCUCCCCUCUACGGAGAUACAAGAAAAUAUUUGAUGUUCUCUUAUUAUUAAUUGUUUUCACAAUUUUUAUCCGCUGCGAAGCGCAAGUCCUUCACUAGUAUAAGAUGAAGUGCAUAGAAAGAUAAGAGAAGAGAAUUGAUGAGUCUAGAACCAAAGGAAUUCAAUGUGAUGCAAAAAAAUAAUGCAAAACACGCUCCACAUUAAAGAGCUCUCUCAAUUUUAGUUGGUCGUUGGAUCUGAGCCACUGAAUCCACAUCUUGCUUUUCCCAAGUUAAAAAAAACA
rnacentral:lncRNA from 1 species